rnacentral:lncRNA from 1 species
UAUAUGGGUCAAUUCAUUUGAACUCUUUUGGUAAAAAUAAAUAUUUUUUGCUUUUCAUUGAUGAUUUUAGUAGAAAAUUUUUGAAGGAAAAAUCCAAAGUAUGUAGUGCUUUUAAGAAAUUUAAAGUACUUAUUGAAAAGGAAAGGGACCACAAUAUAAAGGCAAUGAGAUUUGAUAGAGGAUGCGAAUUCACAUCAAUAGAAUUUGAAGAAUAUUGUGAAAAUCAUGGGAUUUAUUCACUUCUAAUGGUUCUAUAUUCUCCACAACAAAAUGGGUAGCUAAAAGAACAAAUAGAAAUGUCUUUGACAUGGCUCAAAGUAUGUUGAAAAGUAAGAAAAUGCCCAAAGAAUUUUGGGCUAAAGCUGUUGAGUGUGGAGUUUAUUUGUCAAAUUAUUUUCCUAUUCCAAGUGUAUGGAAUAAAACACCGCAACAAGCUUGGAAUGGAAGAAAGCAAAAUAUUUCACAUUUGAGAGUAUUUGAAAGCAUUGCAUAUGCUCACGUGUCAUAUCAAAAGCGAUCAAAAUUAGAUGACAAGAGUGAAAAAUAUAUCUUCAUUUGUUAUGACUCAAGUUCCAAAGGCUACAAGUUAUACAAUCCAAAUAAAGGAAAAAUCAUUAUUAGUAGAGAUGUCAAGUUUAACAAAGACGAAGCAUGGGAUUGGGGUGCUCAAGAAGGCGACUAUGAUAUACUCUUCCCCUAUAGGAAGAAGAACAAACAAUGGGAAGCUUACAAGAGAUUACUACUCCACUUUCUCCAUCAACUCAUGAGGUUCCAACAAUAUCAUCCUUAUUGGAAUGCUCUAGUGGAAGGACACUACGUUAUAGAAGUUUACAAGAUAUUUAUGAGGCAAUAAAAGAUCAAAAUGAUCUAACCCUCUUUUGUCUUUUUGCAAAUUGUGAAUCAAUAGGUUUUGAAGAAGCAAUUCAAGACAAAAGAUGGAAAGUUGCUAUGGAUGAGGAAAUAAAAUCAAUAAGGAAGAAUGACACAUGAAAAUUACAAUCCCUUCCAAAAGGGAAAAAAAACUAUUAGAGUAAGAUGGGUCAACAAGGCAGAGAAAAAUGCAAAAUGAGAAGAAGAAAGAUACAAAGCAAGAUUGAUGGUUAAGGGUUACAAGCAACAAUAAGGCGUCCACUAUGUGAACAAGAAACCAUUGAUUGCAUUACCAAAAAAUUCAGUUUUCCAUUAUUCAAGCAAGCACAUCGAUACAAGAUAUCGUUUCAUUAUAGAGGGCAUUAUGAAAAAAAAGAAAAAAAAAAGAAAGUGCAAUUAAAUUUUACAAAAUCUUAAGAUCAAAUUACGGUUAUUUUUACAUAAAUCAAGUUUAAGAAGGCAUGUUGGAAAGUAAUCUUGAAUUAGGAACUUUCUAAAUAUUAAAAUUAGACUUCAUUUCUAAAAAGUUAAGAAAGAAUAUUUUAUUUUAAGUAGUUAUUCUAGGUUAUAUUUUUGAGUUGUCAAGUCUCAGUAGGUUUCUAUAUCUUAGAAUUAGGAGUUUCUAUUUUGUUUAGUGUGAGUAGUUAUAAAUAGGAUAUGUAAUGUUUGAAAAAAAAAAUUUGUGAUAGAAGACAAUAAAUUUUUAAUUCUCCUAAAUUUAUCUUCCUUUGUAAUUGUGUGUUUUCUCUAUCAAUCUCAUUACUCCAACCAAAUUGGUAUCAAUUUUUCCGCACAAGGGUUAAGUUCCAUUGUAAAGUUUUAAAUGCCACACAUUAACACAAGCAAAAGACUUUUGCAAAAGAGCCAAAUAACUAAGAUCUUUAGUUCGUUGUUGAUUACACUCUGCAAUACUGCUACAUAAAUAUAAACCACCCAAGCACUUUUACAUCCUAUAGAGUUGUGCUGACUCAUCCCACUUGCCCAACAAAGCCACAAGGCAAAACCCCACCACUAAGAGGGCUAGAAAUGAAAAAAACCUAUGUGAUGAUAUAUAACAGAUACAAACAACUAAACUUUUUAAGGAAAUUGUGUUUGGAUAAAUUUUAUCUUUGUUUUCCCUUUUGUUCUUCUUUCUCCAUUUUCUUUGUUGCCUUCCAAAAGUCUUCACAAACCAUUUAUGUUUCCUUACAGUCAAGCAGUACAAUUUUCCAAUCAAAAUCACUUGGGGAAGCAUUUCCAAAGGUUGAAGGGGAUGGUGUUAGUGACCAUCCCUUAGAACAUUCACAUACCAUUAAUAAAGGAUUUCCUCACAACCCUUUCCAUCGAAUAAACUAUUUGGAAAUGUAUCAAAUUAUUUUCUCUAUGGUAUUGGCCCUGUUAAAUGGUUAUGAGACACAAUGAAAAAUGCCAUGGAGGUAAAAGACCCCAAGUGCUUCAUUAUACUGCUAGUAGUCAAAUAAAAGGACCCCAACUCUAAGUCAAGGCAAUGUCCAUUUUCACCUAUUUGCGAGAAAAUAAAUGGAACAAUAUAAUAAAUACAAGGUUGUUGUAUUACUUGUGGUAUAUAAAUUUUUGGCUUUCUAAUUGUUGCAUCUCAUUGGACAAGAAACAUAUGGAUUUAAAUCUCUUAAAGAAAAUUGUGGUAAAAUGAUUUAGGCCAUGUUUAACAACUAUUUUUUUAAAACUUUUUUUUUUGUUCUUUGUGGUUGGAUGAUUUAGGGCAUGUUUGACAACUAUUUUUUGAUGAUAUCUGAAAAUGUUUUCCAUUUUUUUUCCUAAAUUUUUUCCAUUUAGAUUGAUUGGAAUUUUUGGGUGAGUCAAUGCUUUGAGGUGUUGAAAGGAAUAAUUUAGGUGAAGUAUACAAAACUUUAUAAUUAGUAGGAAGUGUGUUCUUUUAUCUUUUUUCUUCUUUAUUAUUUCUCUUUCCAACUUACUCUUUUAGAUAUGUUAUGUUUAGUUUUCAAAAAAAUUAAAAGGAAAAAUGCAAGAAAAAAGAAAAUAGAGAGAAAAAGUAAAUAAAUAAAUAAAGUCAAUAAAUUUAUUUUUAUAUAUUAUUUUAAAUUUAUUGCAUUUAUUUUAUCUUAUACAUAUAUAUGAAUUAAAUAAUUUGAAAAUGCAUGAAUUUUUUUUCUAAUUUUAAUUACAUUUUAUUUUAUUUUCAUAUUUUCAUAAUAAAAUAAAACAUACAAAAUAAUUUUAAACUUAACAUUUUUUUUAUUUCCCAAGUAAUUUCUUGAAACCAAACAUAGCUUUGAUUCCUCAAAAGAUUUGAGGGAAGGCAAGAGAAACAAUAAAGAGGAAAAAGAGUUUAAAGCUAAUAAUUUGUUUUUUGAUUUCAAUUGCUUUAAUUCUUUUAUAUAAAGACUAAAUAAUUUAAAAUUACUUAAGUUUUUAAUUAAUUUUAAUUAUGUUUGAUUUUCAUUUAAAGUAAAACCAAGCAUGCGAAAUAUACAUAUAUUUGUACAUCAUGUAUAAAGUACUUAUAUUAAAUACAAUAUGUGCAAUGCAUGUGCAUGUACAAGGCGAAUGCCUUUUAUUGUCAAAGGCCAAUUUUAUCAUCAGCAUGAUCAAUUUUUGAAGUAAAAGACAAUUUUUAAAACCUUUGCUUUAUUGGUAAACUUCACGCAUUUGGACAAACCAUACAUUGAGUAUUUUUGGGAAAAUAUCAUAGAAGUGGUUGAAAUUUGAUGGUUGAAUCCUAUACUCACAAUGUGUAGUGGCAAGUUAGGUCAAGUUAAUUGUAUUUAUACAUCAAAUACAACAAAAUUGUACUAAAUAUAUAUGGCAUGUACAUAACAUUUCAAUUUUCGUUCUUUCAAGGUCAUUUCUUUAUAGAAGUAGGUCGGAGUUGAUGUUGAUCACUAUAAAAUAGUGUUUGUGUGUGCUUACUCAUCAUGUUAAAUAAUCUUACAUUUAUACCGAUGGAAAUAAGGUUUCGAAUUACCUUCUAAAAGGUCUAAAAUCUAGAUUGGUUGUUUCAUUGACGAAUUCUUUGUCCCAAAUUGUUAAUGAAAUUACAAAAAAUGAUAACCACUCUAUUUCCACAAUAUAAAUGUCUUAAUCAUCGUUUUCACAAAGAAAAAUAAAUAUAAGAGAAAAAACUCAUAGAAACGUAUUCUUUCAAGCUCUUUGAGUAGUUUUAACUACCAAAAACUAUUCCCCAUAUUUCUCAGUUUAUUGGCUCGGGUCAAGUCAACCCACUUGAGUACCCAAACCCAUCUCCAACAUACACAUUAUGUACCAAAAAUUUGUACUUAAUGCACAAAAUAGUUGUAUUAAAUAUAUGACACAUAUAAGACAAUUUUGUUUUUUAUCUCCAAAAUGAAAUGUAAAAUUUCGUAUUAACUAGAAAUUAUAAUUGAUAUAAUUUCAAAUCUUAUAAUCUGUUUGAAAUCUAGUGAAUAAUAUCGGAACAACUUGUUUAACUCUAUGUAGAUUUUAUUGAUCUUACUAGUGAAAACAUGAGAAUGACCUAUGUGUUCAUUCUUCUUCCAUCAUAUAUUUGGUUAAAUUGGUGCAAAUAUGAUAAGCUCUUUAAUUUUUUAGCUUGAUAAAAAAACUUUAGUUGAAAUACCAAAAAUAAUGAUUUUAUUAAUAUUGAUUUUUACCAUUACAAAGUCAAAAAAGAAAAAAAAAUACACUUGGGUUUGUUUGUAUCCAUGUCUAUGCUAGAAAAAUACAAUAUAAAUAUAUUAAUAUUUCUAAUUUGAUAUACAUAUUCAAGAACAAAUACUAUUUAAAUUUAUCUAUGAUUCAAUGGCUUACUAUUAUUGUUUUAUUAUUUUAAAAAUUAAUUUUAAAAAUUUUUUUGCCAUCAUCAUCAUGUCAAUCAUCUUAUUCUAAUGAUUUAAGAAAAACUGAUUUUAUUAUUUUAAGUUAUGAAACUAAAGAACUGCACCAAGAACAAAAGGGCCUCGUUCUAAUCCAGACUUUCCUACUCUUAGAAUCAAGUAUGGGGAAAACAAUCAUCAGCCACAACCAUCUUCAUUUUCCUCUGCAAUGACAAGGGUUUUCUUGUCAAAUACAUUUUCUUUAAAAAAAAAAAACAUUUUUUAGGCUAAAAACGCUUCUUAGAAUCAUUGUCAAACAAACUCUAAGCAAUUUUUCGAUACUACAAGUGAUUUUUAAAAUUUUUAUGUGUUUUGUAAGUUUUGUCAAACACCAGUUGUUUUUUCAAAAAUAUUUUUUAAGCUAAAAACAUUUUCUAAAAUUACUGUCCAACGGACUCAAAGUCUCUUACUUUAAUACCCUUAAAAGUUUCAAAAGUUUAUUAAAUUAUCAUUGGUAACUUUCACAGGCUUAUAGCUUACAACUGUCAUGAUGGCGUCGAGAUGGUGUCGUUGUCAACUGGCGGCAAUGUGUUAGGCUAAAGUUGGAGGGGGUGGCAGUGAUGCAAAAAGGGGGGAGAGGGAGGAAAGGGGUUGUAGUAGAUGUUAGGGUAGAAGGCAAGGGAUGAGUUUAAGGGGCAAAACAACAUCGUUUUGAAAGGGAGAAAAAAAAAAAAAAACCUUUCGAACCAUUCAAUUUGUUCAAAACUGACCAGGUCAAUAGGGUUCAUCGGUCCAAUUGCCGAUUCUAGUGGUUCAAGGUCAAUUCAAAGGUUGAUCGGUUUAAAGGCACGAACCAGACCGAAAUGGUAACCAACCGACACUUCGAUUGGUAGGAUCGGUUAGUCCGGUUCAAUUUUUAAAAUCAUGAUUUAAAUUGUAUAAGUGCCUCAUUUUGCUCAUUUUGGAUAUGAGUACGAGUUUGCACUUUUACAGACCUCAAGGUGCAUUUAAGUCCUUCUCACAUCCCAUUCCUCAUCCUAAAACCGUGGGUACAUCAUCAAGGUUUAAAUUUGAAUGUUCUAUAUCAAUGGUCCAUUCUUGGAAAUACUAAAUAUUUUCAAUUAGUAAUUGCUACACCUUACUUGGAUCUAAAAUUGAAUUUUUGAAAGUAUUUAGUGUUUGUAUUCAUUGUUUUCUUAAUUAAGUUUCAAUCUUUUAAUAAAAAAUCACAAUUUUCACAAACUAAAGUUUUCAUAAAAAGUAGUAGUUGAGUCAAUUUAGGCAAGAUAAACUAGUUCACUUGUUUCCUUAAGGUUGAUACCUAAUACUAAAAGUAGAAGUAAUUUUCUCUAUGAUUUUUCUUAAUCAAAGUUACUACAUUACCACUUUAGUGAUCUUCUACAUAACAUAGAAGUUCUAUUAGUUGGUAGCAUUUUAAAUUAAUCAAAGAGAUAGAAUUAGAUGUUAGAAACUUUUGUCUCUCAUACCUCUAAGAACUAUCCUACAUUUUUUCCUUACACUAAUAAUUUUUCUCCAUGAAUGUCUUGAAUGUUUCAUAUACAAUAUAUAAGUUUUCAAAAUAAUUGAUGACAACAACCACUGUCUUAAAACCUGACUAUACUUAUUAUGAAAUUUGUCAAAUACAAAAUAAAUGUCUAUAAACUCAAUUGAAUAUCAAAAUGAUUUCCUUGAGAGAAAAUGAAACACUUAUACUAUUUCACAAUAAUAACUAAUAAAAUAUUUUGGUUCCCUUUGAUUUAGUAAAAGAAAAGGAAAAAAAAUGAAUAAAAAACAACAUUUCUUGAUUAAUACAAUUGCAAGAAUGUAAAUUUUAUCAAAUUAAUUGAAUUCUUAACUAUCUAGUUGUUAUUAUGUACUUUAUUUAAGCAUUAAUAUGGUUAUUAUAAAACAGUUGAAUUACUUUAUGUCUUUGAGUAUGAAGGAGAACCUGAUAGAACCACUUUAUAAAUAUUAUUUAAUCCAUUUUGUGAUACUUGUAUUUCAAUUAGGAUGAGAAUAAUUUAUGUUAGGAUAGAGCCCUUAAAAGCAUGACAUGUUAUAACAUUUAUUUGGAUUUAUUAACAAGAUUCCAAUUUCUCAUUUCUCUCUUGUUUUAUGCAUUAUAUUUUAUAAGCAUUCUGACUUGAUUACUUAAUAAGAGGAUUUAUAACUUCAGAAGGUAGAGGUAGUCUUGAAAGGUUGAUAGCUUUCACCUAAUGCACCCAAGUCAUGUACAAUGUAAGAGACAUGGAUUGAAUGCUCAAAUCAAUGUCAAUAUAUUAAGAGGAUAACAAGGGGAUAGUUAAUUCUAACUUUGUUAUAUCAUGUCUUGCUUUAAAUGGCUUAAUCCCAACAAACUUCCACUAGCCCCAAAAGUAGACCGGGCACUACAAAAAGAUUCUGCUCCAGAGUCAUAUCACCUCCUUGUACUAUCUCAUAGUAAUGUAACACUUUAUCUUUAUGUGUUUCACCUUCUAGUGAUACUUUAGUUCUUUAGGCUAUGUCAUUGUCCCACUGUUAUCAUAUAAUAGUAUCUUAAACGAUAUAACCAAGGGAACUACCCAUAAGCCAAAAGGCUUCCUUUGUUGUUAUAGAACCAACAAAAACCACUUAAGAGUGUAUACAUAUCUAGAGGUAGACCUACGAGAGUCCUCAUUAGACUGAAAGUCCAAUUCCCGAUGAAAUGAGUACCAACUCAUCACAAAGAUUCACAAGCAUAUAAUCUCGCAUUCUCCAAAGAUACUUACGUAUUUGCUUAACAUCCGCCCAAAGCUCUAAUAAGGAAUUAAAUUAAUAUUAACUCAUAUUCCUAUAACAAAGCAAAUAUUUGGUCUAGCACAUAGCAUUGCAUAUUUAAUGCUAUCCAUUGUAGAGGCAUAGGAUACCGCCUUAAUGUGAUAUCUCUCGAUGGAUGUCCAAGGACAUUGAUCCUGAGAAAGACAAACCCAUUGCAGGAUCUUUGUCCUAUGCUGAUGAUGAAGUUGGUGCUUGUGGUGCAACUGGGGAUGGUGAUAUCAUGACGCGUUUCCUUCCCUGGUAGUUCAACAAAUCCCAAACUUUUAAACUUCAGCCUGGAAACUGUUGUUUUUCCAGUUGGUAUUAAAACAAAAUUUGGAAGCUUCUCUUCCAAGUUAGCUAAAACUGGAAUUUUUAUAAUGAAGAUUGUUUAAACUGAUUGAGUAUUCAAAAUCUUUGAGGUACUAAAAUGGGUUGAGCUCCAGCUAAUGUCUUGGUGAAAUUCAAAAUCAUUGGUGAAAUUCAAAAUCAAUCUUGUAGAGCCAUGAUGAGCCAACCUAAACAAAGCAUAGGCUAGGCAGGGUUUGGCGCUAGUCAGGCUCGAUUUGGCUUGAGCUCUCUAUGUAGAGCAGUGCCACAGUGAAAGAACCAGGCUCUGAAGCUAUGAAUGUAUUUGGAACCAAAACUCAAAAUCCUGCUCUUAUGGAGCAUGCCCUCAAUCUCACUCAAAUAAAAAGAGAAGGGAGGAAAAUAGGAAAAAAGACAAAUAGCAAAGGAGCAUGUUUCUUAUAUGAAUUAAUAACAUGCAUGGAGAAUAUUAAUGCAAUACUAGCCACAAAAACUAUCACCUCUAUAGCUCAGUUAAGGCUCAUCAAGCUUGGAGAGCUUGACCUGAGGUUUGGGCCCUCUUUAUAUCAAGCAAAUCAAACUCAAGUCAUUUUCUGCUCUCCUCACUUGAACUGAAAAGCCCACCUAUCCAUUCUAUGCUCUCUCAGAUGUGUGAUGUAGGAUGGAUUGCUUCUCUGUUUUGGCUCUGUUCCCAAGCCUAUUUUUUCCAAGGUCCAAGUGCUCUUGAUAUACCUCUCAUCUCACCAACUAUAGGAAAGAAACUCUUUAGACACUGGACAAGAAAGAGAUACUCAAUCCCCUUUUCUUGACUGACUAUUUGGAUCCUAAGAAUCAUUUACCUGAUUUCAGCUAUCAAGUUGUGGAGAGUAUGCGACUGGGGAUGGAGCCAAAGCUUGCUGCCCAAGAUGCAAUAAAGCGAAUUGCAAGAAAAAUUCCAGAUUUCGUUGGGGCAGUUUUUGCCAUCAAUAAGAAUGGUCUGCAUGCUGGUGCUUGCCAUGGAUGGACAUUUCAAUACUCAGUGAGAAGCCCCGGAAGUGGAGGAUGUGGAGGUAUUCACUGUCUUCCCCUGAAAUAGCAACUGCCUGAAAUAGCAACUGCAUUCUGGUGGGGUUAUGUAGAAAGCUGGUAAGCAACUAGAACAGCAGCAAAGGGAAUCCUCUAGCUUAACUAGUUUGGAUGUGUACAAAUUAAAUCUAGGGUGGAGAAGUUGUUGAUACUCAUCGGGCCCAUAUUAGAUGUGUUUUGAAGCCAUAAGGAUUAAUAAAUUUAAAGUGCGUUUGACAAUGAUUCUAAAAAUUGUUUUUGGUCUUUUUAACACUUCAUAAUUUUUAUUUUUCAAGUAUUAAAAAUGAUAGAAACACUUUCUAAGAUCACUGUCAAACAUACUCUUAAAGUGCGUUUGAUAAUAAUAAUGAUUUUAAGAAGUGUUUCUAAUUUUUCUACUACUUGAAAGAUAAAAAUUUUCAUGUGUUAGAAAUACUAGAAACUCUUUCUAAAAUCACUAUUAAACGCGCUCUUAAUUUAAAAUUGGGUAGACCCUUAGUUUCUUUUUGGUAGUGAAUUUUUAUUUAUUUAAUUAGUUGAUUAUUAUUAUUGUUAUUUGCCUAGGAUGCUGUGUGAUCCUUCAACUUUUUCUAUAUUCUAAGAAGUUGGUUUGCCCAGGUGUUUAAUUUUUAAAAAAAGUCAGAUUUUUUGAGAAUAUAGCUUUGGUUAAUUAAAAUUUUCAAAAUUAUGCAAUAUCGUUGUCACUCCUUUCAUGGCAUCCCAAUUUUGGAAAUACUUUGAUGGAAAAUCACCUAUAAGUUUGUGGAAAGAGGAUUUAUAAAAUGAUGAGGUAAGGGUAUUUUUAUUUAAUUUCAUUUUUGGUUUGACUGAAGUUGUCUCUCUUUGUGUCUUUAAUCAAGACCCAUGCAAAAGGCCAAUCUAAUGGCUACACAUAGCAUGGGAAUUUUAAUGCAGAAAUGGAGGUAUACCAGUUUUGAAUUUCUAGUUCUACUUCCAUACUUUUCAUACUGGAGAUAUACACAUGGUGUAUAUCUGGUCUAUUCUAAUAUAGAAAGCAAGGCAACCUCGUACUUUUCAUAGGAGUUCUCUUAAUAAUUUCAUCUUGAAUCAAGAAUAGUAGUUGGAUUAUUAAAGAAAUAAUUAAAGUCAUGAGAUAUGGAGAUAGAUAGCAAUUCUGCAAUUCUUCAAGUUAAAGCUCUACGUAAGAAAUGUUUUUAAAAUUGUUUUCAAUAGCAAUUGCUAAAUAGGAUCUAAGACAUGUGCAUCUCUAACACAUGCACCCAAUUCUUACUUUUAACCACUUCAUUUCAAAAUUUUGUAAUUUUGAAAUAAAUUUAUAUGUAAUAGGUGAUUUAAGUGAUUUAUUAAUUAUCAAAUGUAACUCUUACUUUGAGAGUUUUAUCUCUCUCUUAGUGACUAAAAGAUAGAGUUGUGCAUAAACCAACUUCUUUAUAGAAAUAUACAUCUAAUUCAUGGAAAAGAUACAAGGUAAAUUUUUUUUAGGUAUUUUAUAAAUUCAUGUGUUUUCAUCACUGUAUGAGAUAAGAUUAUUGUAUAUACUUACAAAAAAUUGUGAUACUUGGAUAACACAAAAUCUCGUGAUUAUGGUGAGUUAAAUUUUCUGGGCUUCCACUGUUUUUAAAAAUUUUAGGCUAUGUUUGGUUCUGAAAAAUUUGAAGGAAAAUGUAAAGAAAAGAAAAUUGUGAGAGAAAGUAAAAAAAGAAAGAAAAAAGAUGAAUAAAAAUAAAAAAUAAAUUAUAUGCCUUUUCAGACUCAUUUAAUUUAUUUUUGCUCUUCUAUCUAAAUAUUAAAUAAGUUAAAAAUAUAUAAAUUUUUAGCUAAUUUUAUUUUUAUUUUAUUGUGCUUGAUGAUAAAACCAACAUGGGGUGAGUGAUGAUAUCUCUCCCUUUCACCUUUUCAACAAGGAUAAAUAAUUGGAUAGAUCUUCACACCCAAGAAGUUUUUUUGAUAAGAAAGAACAUUGUUUAUUUUAAUUAUUCUGCAGUCAAGUUGUAAUAUCCCACAAGAUUGCCCCUAGCCUCAAGGUAUAGGGUGUUAUACAAGGGGUCAAGCUCAAUUGCAAAGUUUUAAGUGUCAAACGUUAAGACAUGCAAAAGACCUUUGCAAAAGAGCCAAAAGACUAAUAUCUUCAGUUCGUGGUUAAUUACAAUCUGCAUUAAUACUACUACAUAAAUAUAAACCACCCAAGCACUUUUACAUCCCAGGUGGCUUAUUAUACUGCUACUAGUUACAUAUAAAAGAUCCUAACUCUAAGUCAAGCUAGCCAUUUUCACCUCUUUGUGAGAAAAUAAAUGGAACAAUAUAAUAAUACAAGGUAGUCAAACUACUUCUGGUUGUUGCACCCCACUAGAUAAGAAAAAGAAAAGGCAAAUGAAGUGUUAAAACUAGCAUUUGCAGUUUAUUACAAACCACAAGUGUCUUCCAUUGUUAGUACCAUCUCAUUACUUAACAAAACAGGAAGUUUCAAGAAGAAAAAGAGAGAGAAAUCAAACAGCGGCAGAAUAAGAAGAAGAAAACUGUGGUUGGAUGAUUUAGGGCAUGUUUGACAACAAUUUUUUUAAAACAUUUUUUAUUCUUCAAAAAAAAAAAAAGGAAAAUAUGUUUGACAAUUUUAAAAUAGAAAAUAGUUUAUAAUCUUAAAAACAAAAAAUAGCUUAUUUUCAGAAAAUAUUUUUUUAGUUAUUUUCACUUUUUUUUUAUUUUUUUUAAAAAAUAAUUAUAUAAAUAUAGAGUGAUUAAAAAUAAAGUAUUACAAAUAAAAGUUAUUUUUUAAAAAAAUAUUUAAAAAUAUAAAAAAUAGAUUAAGAACAUUUCAGGUUUCUAAAUCAACUUUUGUAUUGAAAAACAUUAGAUAAUAGUAUUUUUCAAAAAUAUUUUCGAGAACAAUUCCAAAACAAAGCCUUAAUUUCUCUAUCUCUCAAUUUCUUUCAUUUUCCAUUUGGGUAUCACAUUCCAAAAAUUUUCAUAUCCUAUCAAUGUCAUUUUCCAUCCAAAUGCACCAAGGAACCUUGUUCAGAGGUUGAAAAGGGUGGUACUGGUAACACAUCAGGAUUAGCCUUGAAAACUAGAGAAAAAAAAAAAAUGCUUUUCCUACGGGGACAAAUAGAAGGCUCCACAUUUUAUUUACUUAAAGAGAUUCCAUAUCUCCCUUGAAUUUUCUGUUUUAUGGUUAGGUGUUCAAAGAUUGAAGUUUCUACCUUUAUUUCAAAUGAAAGACUUGCAUACAAGUUCUAAGGUUGAGGUUGAUGUAGAGGAGCUUAAAGCAUAGUUUCACUCAGCUAGCUAUAAGAAGGUUUGCAAGUACAACAACCUCAAGGGACUUGUACUGUUGCUUAACUUCCCAUUAAAUAGCUUAACUCCAAUGCAAGACAACUUUCAUUUUGCGUUUGUCCUUUUUCCAUGUGAAAUAGAUAGAAGAAUCUAAUACAUGCAAGCUAGUGAUAGUACUUACUAAUAUGUAAGCGCACAACUUGAUAAAAGGAAGAAGGAAUGAUAAAAGAAGUGACAAGAAUAACACCUUCAGUCUGUAGUUCAAUACAAACCAUAAUCAAGUUGCAUUGCUACACUACAUAUUAUUAAGAAACCUAAGCAGUUUUACAUCCAUUCGCCAACACAAACACAAGUUGAAGUAACACCAUGACUAGAAAGGAAAAAGAAAUGAAGAAAGAAGUCCAACAAUUCAAGUAGUAUACAUAGAUUAAGAAAUCUUUCAACGAAAUUUGGGUCUGAUAAAUUUAGCCUCUGUUCCCCCUUCUUUCUUUCCUUGUCCAUUUUCUUUGUCGCUUUCUAAAGGUUUUCAUGAACCACUCAUGUUUCCAUGAGGUCAAGCAGUACCCAAUUGAAACUCCGAUUACUAGCUCACUUCCGUAUCCCAUUAAUAGAAAUUUCCAAUCAAAUUCACUAGUUGAACCUUGUUUAGAGGAUGAAGAUGUUGGUGGUGAUGCAUCAGAACUUCCACAUGCCCUUGACAAAGGACUUCCACACAAUCCUGGGUUCCCAUCAAAGGAAGCAUUUGGAAAUGUUGUAAAUUGAUUUCCUUGUGGUAUAGGCCCCGUCAGAUGAUUAUGAGACACAUUGAAGAAUGCAAGGAAUGUUAUCCUUGUUAGUUGCAAAGGGAUCUCUCCUGAGAGCUAGUUCGGGGAAAGAUCCAAUGACUCCAGCUGUGGUAGGUUCCCCAAGGAGGAUGGGAUAUGGCCAGUAAGAUUGUUGUCGCCAAGGUUCAGCAAAUGAAGCCCCUUGAGGUUCCCAGUGGAGGUUGGAAUUUGUCCUUUGAAAUUGUUGCCUGAGAAAUCAAUUGCUAUUAAAAUAUCAGGGAUCUUCUCAAAAAACCUCUGCAUACCUCUAUUUAUCAUUGUCAAUGAGUACAAGUAAUGGCCAGUCCAUGUAUACCCUAGGUUUUCAAACUCUGGGUGUGCCUGCAUGUACCUAAGGUCGUUUGCAAUAUCUGUAAGUUUCAUGGCAUCCCAAUUUUGGAAAUACUCUGAUGGUAAAUCACCUAUAAACUUAUUGUCAGAGAGAUCGACGAUGCACAACUUGGGAAACCUGAAAUUCGAGUGCCAGCUCCCUAUUGCACCAUGGAAUCUGUUGGAUCUCAAAAUAAGAACCUGUAGCUGUGGGAGGGCUCCAAGCCAGAAGGGGAAAAUAUCAUCGAUUUGAUUAUUUCCAAGAACAAGGUGCUCGAGCAUCAUGCAAUUGGCAAAUGAUCUUGGUAUUUGGCCUUGGAAUUGAUUUUCACCUAAAUCAACCACCCUCAAAUUGUUUGUCACUGUGCAUGUUUGAGGAAAGGGGCCAUCAAGGCUGUUGCUUCCCAGAUCCAGUACGGACAGAGAUUUACUCAAGUUGUCCAGACAUUGGGGAAUCCUGCCACUCAAAUUGUUACUAGACAAAUCAAGUAACAUGAGAGAACUCACGUUGCAAAUAAGUGGCGAAAUUUCUCCGAUCAGUUUAUUUCUAGAGACUGAAUAAUAUUCAAUGGUUGAUGGUGGUGGAAUUGGAAGUGGUCCUUGCAACAUGUUAGAAUCAAGCAUUAAAAUGCUUAACCUGGACCAUGGAAGCACAACUGGAUGUUGGUCAAAGUCGGUUAAAAGGUUUCCAGAAAGGUCAAGAGUCCCUAGGUUUUCUUGGCUUAUGUUCCAAAUCCACUUUAGAAUUAGACCAUGAAUUUUAUUAUUGGCAAGGGAGAGCACCACCAAUUCAUCUUGGUUCCGCAGGAAAUCAGGAAACUCAGUUAAGUUGCAUGAAUCCAAUCCUAAAAGCUUAAAUUUAGGGAGAGUAACAUUGGUUCUGGUGUAACCGAGCAAUGAUAAACUGUUGCCUGAUAAUUGGAAACUGGUGAGGUUUUUGAGCUUAAGUAACAUGUUAAGUUCCACUGUCCCACUCAAGGAAUUUCCUCCUACAGAAAGAGAUUGAAGAUUUACAAGUUCAAAUAAUGAACUUGGGAUUCCACCUUCUAAAUUGUUUGUCCCAAGUUCUAAUACAGUCAAUUGGGUGAGGUUCAUGAGCCAAGAUGGGAUCUGACCACUCACUUGAUUUUCUGCAAGAGUCAAAGUAGUUAGCUGACUCAUAUUUACAAGAGAGAAUGGGAUUUCUCCAAUUAAAUUUAUUUGGCGGAGAUGCAAAGCAGUGAGUUUUGUUUGCUCACCAAGCCAAGCAAGGGUCCCAACACUGAAAUUAUUAAAAGAAAGGACUAAAAAAGUGAGUUGGGUAAGAUUUGCCAUGGAAGAAGGAAUUUGGCCACUAAAAGAGUUAUUUGAAAGGUCUAAAUAGGAUAACUGGGGAAGGUGACCAAGUGGAGAUGGGACCAACCCAGUGAAAUUGCAUGAGCUGAUGUCCAACUCAGUCAAAGAACCAAGCCUCCCAAUUGAAGUUGGUAACUCACCAGAAAAACUCGUACCAUAAAGAUGCAACUCUUUUAACGGACUGGUUUCCUGAAAUUCAGGCAAAUAACCAAUCAGAUCUGGAUUGUAACUCACACUAAGAAACUUUAGGCUUGGUAGCUGAAAAAUGUUCAUUGGGAAUUCACCAUGCAAUCCACAUUCUCUGAGAAAGAGAGUUGUCAAUGAAGAUAAAUUUGCCAACUCAUGAGGUAUUGUUGAAGAAAUGUUCACCUCGCUUAGAUGAAGUUUCUUUAAGUGGGCAAAGUUCUGAACCAGAUUUCUCAAGCAAGGCUUUUGAAGCUGCAACAUUGGGUUUGCCUAGAGAUCAAGGAAAACCAAGUUGGACAGUGCUAAGAGUUCCGAUGGGAUUUGGGCGGCGAAUGCAGAAUCAGAGAGAUUGAGACUUCUAAGCCUUAAAAGCUGACCAACACUAAAUGGGAUCUCAGAGUAAUUGAAAUCAUUAUCAGAGAGGUCAAGCCUCCGGAGAUGAACAAGACUGAAGAGGGUGUUGCUGGAGUUGAUAGAACCAUAGAGACAACUGCUGGCAAGGUGAAGACCGAUCACAUGGCCAGUCUCCCUGUCACACUCAACACCAUCCCAAGAGCAGCAAUCACUUCCUUCUCCUUCUCCAUGGGAUUUCCACAUUGCAACUUUUGGAUAAGCAGAAGGAUCACCAGAGGCAUGCCCAUCAAUCAAAAAGCUUUGCUUGAACUGAAGCAAGGCAGAGCUCUCACUAUCAUGGCACAGUGGCUGCUGCAUAAAAGAGGAAGAGUCAGCCACCACUGGAUAAAAAGAUGAGAGUAAAAGUAGAAAGCGCAUGAACAUGAAGAGACACAAAGUUGAGCCCAUAUUUUCUAUGGAUAAUAAGAAAGCAAAUGGGAGUGAUAAGGGUUCACAGCCCAUAUUUUUUACAUAAUAAAUAUGUUAAAGCUCAUUAUUAAAAAAAAUUAAUUCUAAUGAUGUUAUUUUAAAAUUUAUUCAAUUAAUAAAUAUACAUAUAAAAACCAUCAUUAUAAUUUUCUUAAUAAGUAUUUGUUAAUAUCAUUUAUAUGAUAAUUAAAUAUUAAAAAUUCACAUAUGCAUCAUCAUUUAUUUUACAUUAUUGAAUGCAUUUAAAUUAAAUAAAUUACAGUUUUAAUAUUAAAUAUAUUAUCAUUAUCUCAUUAACCCUAUUUUAAAAAAUCACUAUCACUUUACUUUUAAAUUUUUUAUAUUUAUCCUUUUAAUUUUAUUUAAUUUUUAAUUUUUUAUUUAAAAUAUUUAAAAUAUAAAUUUAUUCAAAAAAUACUAAAAUAUAAAAAAAUAAUUAAGUUCAAAUAUUUUAUAAAUUAAAAUUAAUUUGAUUAGAUAAAUAAUAAAUUAUUAGUACUGACAUAUCUUUGUGUACCGAUUUUUUAUCUUUAAUCAUACCUAUAUUAAUUACACUUAAAAAAUAAUUUUAACAUGUAUAUUUUUAUUUAUUUUAUCUUAGAGUUUCUCCAAAUAUUUUUAUGAAUUUUGAAUAAUUUUUAUCUUAUCAUAUUUUUAUCAAAAUAUCCAUCAAUAUUUCUGCGAUAUUUUUUAUAUAUCCGUAAAAUUUAAGUAUCGAUAUAUUUGUAUUUACCCAUAUUUCAAACCUUGAUAUUAACUUAAAGAGUUUUGACUACCUCCAUCCCAAAGUUUUUCUUCAAUAAAUCCCUUGUUUUCAAGGUUUCAUCCUAUUCUAAAAUGGUUUUGCUUUACUUUAACACCUAUUUAAAACUUGAUAUUAAAAAAUUGUCAAUGAACUAAAACUUAGAAGAUAUGUUAUAGAAAACAAAUGAAAACAUAGAAAUUACUUUCGAAUUUUAGUUUAUUUACAUAUGUUAAAAGGAGUGAAUUGUGCCUUUUUUUUUAAUUCAUUUUAAAUAAAAUAUUUUAACCAAGUUCUUUUUUGAUAAAAAUAUAAUUUGUACCUUAUUGAAAUAUUAAUAUCCAUAUUUUAUCAUUAUUGAUUAUUUCUUAACACAAAAAAUACCAUUCAUAUUUUAUUAAAUAUUAUUUAUAAAAUUAUUUUCUCAAUUUUUCACAAAAUUUAAAUGGAAUUUAAUUUAAUAUUAAUAUAAAAUUAAAAUUAAAAUCUUUUCACAAAAUAAAAGAAAUUAUUUUUAUAAACGACAUUUAUUUUUAUUUUUGGUCUUUAAAAACUGUUUGCAAUCAAGUUUGGAUGCACUUUUUAUUUUCUAUUUUUUUUUAUAAAAAAAUGAUACUAAUCAAGAAUUAAAAUUUCGGUUUUUAUUUAUUUAUUUUGGAAAUGUCAUCGAUAUAUCGAAUACCAAUGGUAUCCGACACGAUAUUGGGUACCGAUUAUCAAUUGAUGGAAAUUUCGAUAAUAUCGAUAAUAUAUGAGUUUGGAGGUGAAAUGUUGAUGAGAAAAAAUCGAGUGUGGGGUGAUGUGCAAAGGCAAUAGAGAAGAACCUCAAAAAAUCGUUGAUAUAUCAAAAAAAAAAAUCACCUAUUUUUUGGCUAUUUUUGUGGCCCAGCCCGCUUGCCAAAGGCUCAAAUUUUGGGCGAUUUUUAUGUACCACUGAGGAUAAAGGGAUUUAUAAGGUCUUCUCAACUGCAGUCCAUCAUUGGUGUUUACCUUCCCAUGUACUACUAACCAAGCAAGGGUCUUCACCUUUGAAGAGGCUUUUGAUCUCCACAAAAACUUGAGAAAUUUGACAAGGCCAAGGAAAAAAAUUUAACAGAAAACAAGCCUGAUGAGGACAAAGACCAAGCUCUUGAAUUUGCCACAAAAGAAUAAAAAUGCAUUGAACUAAGGGAUGACAUGAGUCUUUGAAGGAGUUUAAUUUCUAUAUCAGUGAGAUUAGAACGAAAAUUAAAAUUUCAAGAGAGUGGAUAGGAAUUGCCAAGGAAAAUUGAGAUGAUGAAGUUUUUCACUGAAAUAACUCUAUAAAGACAAAGGAAUUGAGAGCACAAAGUUUGGUUACCCCACCAUAGAUCUUCCCAAAAAUGGAUUCUCUCGUCAUUCCCCACCACUAGGCAAAUAAAUGGGGAGAAAUCUUGGAAAACUUGAACAAUAGCCUUCCAAGGACAUCUGUGUGACCUUCUAACCAACAUAUUUUUGUUCCAUCUAUCAGGAUGUGUCCCAUAAAUAUUCGUAAUAACCUUAUGCUAAAGACCACUCCUUUCCCUAGGGAACCUCUAAAGCCAUUUCCCUAAAAGAGUAUUAUUUCUUCAAGAAGUCUUCCCGAAACCCAAACCUCCCAACUCUUUUGGCCUACAAACAACAUUCAUCUAAUAAGAUGAUCUUUCUUCCCUUCCUCUGCCCUAGACCAAAGGAAAUCCCUUUAUAGUUUCUCAAUCUUUGAGGCUAUUGAUACUGGGAUUUUGAAGAGGAAGUAGCUUAGGAUAUGAGACAGACUUAAAUGAAUUAAAGUAAUCCUUCCCCCCCCCCCCCUCCCCCCCCUCGAGACAAAAAAAAACUUUUUUCCAUCGAUCUAACCUCCUCGAUCUCAACCACAAGAUCCCAAAAGCCUAUUGUCUUUGGGUUCCCUCCUAAUGGAAGACCUAAAUAAAACAAAGGCCACUCUGAUACUCUACAAUCAAGGAUCGAAACCAAACUAGACAACAACUCUUGGCUUGUAUUAAUACCUGAAAUGGUGUUUUUUUCUAAAUUGAUUUUUAAUCUUGAUACUUGCCUAAAAAUCAAAAGGAUUAGCUUGAGGUUUUGUAGAUGUUCUGGAGAGGCUUUAGAGAAAAAAUUGGUGUCAUCUGCAAACUGUAGUAAAGACACUCUAGUCCUAUCCCUUCCCAUAAUGAAGCCCUUAGUUAACCCAGUUUCCUUUACUUUGAUCAUCAUUCUAUUUAGAACAUUUACUACUAAGGUAAAAAGAAAAGGAGAAAGGGUGUCUCUUUGUCUCAAACCUCUAAUGGCCUUAACCUAACCCUUUGUAUUUUCGUUAACUAGGAUUGCAAAACUUGUUGAAGACAAACAAUCUCUCAUCCAAGAUCUCCAUUUUUGGUUGAACCCCUUCCUUUCUAGAACAUGGUCUAAAAGGCCCCAAUCCACAUGAUCAUAAGCCUUCUCAAAAUUGAUUUUGAAGACCACCCCUUUCUCCCCUGACCUCUUUUUCUCAUCAACCACUUCAUUGGCUAUCAACACAUCAUUCAAAAUUUGUCUCCCUUCAAAAAAGGCUCCUAGAGAGCCAAAGAUUGUUUCAUGGAGGACUUUGCGUAAACGCCUUGAUAAGACCUUAACAACUAUCUUAUAUAAAUUUGUAACCAAGCUAAUAGGUCUAAAAUAUGAUAUUUUAAAGGUUUGGCUUUUCUUGGGCACUAAAGAAAUGAAGGUAGCAUUUGCUCUUUGAUUUAUUAUUCGAUUAGUGUGGAACUAUAGAAACACCCUCAUAAGGUCCUCUUUGAUCAUAUCCCAACACUCUUGAUAGACUGUAAUAGUGAACCCAUCUAGACCAGGGGUCUUUUCCUUAUUCAAUUGGAAAAUUGCUAAGUAUACCUCAUCUUCAGAAAAUGGCCUGUCUAUCCAAGCCUCACUCUUUCCAGAAAUAGGGACCUAAUCUAAACCUUCAACUCUCUAAAAAGCACCUUCAUUUGGAAUGGAGCUUCCCAAAGAAAUUUACAAUCUCCUUUGAAAUAAUUUCAAUGUUGUUUAGAGUCACCCCCCCUUUAGAGACCAAUGACUUAAUGAACUUCCUUCUUCACCUUCCAUUGACCACUCUAUGAAGUAACCUAGAAUUGUAAUCUCUUUCUUUUAUCCACUUGACCCUAGAUUUUUGCCUCCAAUGAAUCUUUUCAUUUAACAACAAUUCCUCUAACUCUUUUCUUCUUAAGGUCAUUUCUAAUAACAGAUCAUGAUUCAAGUUCCUCUCUUGUUCAAUUAGAUUAAUUCUACCUAAGUUCGAAAGAAUGAAAAUUUUCCUCUCUCUUAAAUCUCCAAUGGCCACUUUAUUCCAAUCUUUCAACUUUGAUUUAAUGAACUUUAAUUUCCUUAUGAACUUAUGACCUUCCCAACCUUCAACGGGACACUCUUGCCACCAAACACUAAAAUUGUCCUUAAACUCGGGAUGGAGGAGCCACAUAUUCUCAAACCUGAAAGGAGUUGGACUCCAUUGUAAAGGAUUAGUUUCCAAACAAAUUAGGCUAUGAUCUAAGUUCCAUCUAGGAAGUGCCUCUUGAAGGCUUUGAGAGUAGAAAUGGGCCCACUCAGAUGGAAACAAAAAUCUAUCCAACCUCUUGCAAAUAUGAACAUCUUGCAUGUUUGACCAAGUAAAAGCUGCAUUUCUAAGAAAUGAAUCAAACAAACCACUCUCCCUUAUAAACUCGUCAACACACCUCAUGUUUGAUGUUAACGUAGAAACACCAAAUUUCUCGGAGAUCUUCUUUGUUACAUUCUACACACCUUAUUGGGAAUGUUGGACCAUAUAGGUCUUGUAGCUCCAUCCAAAAAUCCCUCAUUCACAAAGGCUUAUGUGAACCAUACACUGAAGUUAACCAAAAUGAACCUUCUUCACUAGAAUUUAACUUCACAGUUACAGAGAAAGACCCUAACACCUUCUCUGUACACUUUAACUUAUUUGUAUCCCACAUGAUCACAAUACCCCUUAAAGCCCCACAAGCAAGAAAAACAACCACUCUCUGUUUCUUCCUUUCCAGACACUACCCACAAACCUCCUAUCCCAAAUUUCUCUUUUUGUUUCCUGAAGCGUCACAAUAUAGAACUUAAAAAACUUCUGACAAUUCUCAUUUUCUUCUUGGAACCCAACCCUCUUAUAUUCUAACUUAUGAUCUUCAUGUAAACAAAUAAAAGCCAACAAAAACCACAACAAACCUAAGCCUCCCCCUGGAUUCCAUGGACAGUCUUUCUCUUCCUUCUGAAAUAGACAUUGUCCGCAAAAAAAGUACUCCUACUCUCCAACGCCACACCUUUUUCACUUUUUUUUAACAAUUCUGAUCCUCAAACUCUCCAACACCGAUUGAACCUUUGCCAUCUUCCUAGGCGUGAGACCCUCAAUCUAAAAACCUUCCAACGGGAGAGUAGAAGGCUCUGGAUCUGGGGACAAACCUCUACUUGAGAUGCAAAGCCCUUUAGGUUACUAAGUGGUUCCCUAUGGAAAAAACAACCUUCAAGUUUUUGGUUAGAGGCUUUUCUAAGGGAUGCCACACCUUCUGAAAUGGGCACGCCAACAAGAAGGCUAGACUCAUCACUUGGAAAUUUCAAAUUGGGAACAUCCUGAGUAGCAAAGAUUAACUCCAUUGGAUUCGAAUAAAGGAGCUGGCAUGGAAUAAAAUGAACAACAAAAACAUAAGAGAAGGGAAGAGAGUUUGGAACAAAAGCCCUAAUCAAAGGUUAGCCCUUCUCUAAGGAUUCUAAGUUAGGAAGACGCACCAUGUUUGACAAAUUGCAACAUGAGAGCCCUUCGUCUCCCUUCGUCUCCACGGUGAAUGCUUCGAAAAUUUCUGGAACAGGAAGAUUAAUGCCCUGAUUAAAGACUAAACUGCUUCAGACCUUGGCUGGAUUUGUUUCAACUAAAAAACCCCCAUCAAAUUGCAUUUCGACACAUAAGAUGAUGCAUUAAGGCACAGAGGCCAACCUUUUUGCUUUACACCUUACGAUGACUGAGGGACCUUUUCUCUUUGAUGACUAUUGUGAGUACGCAAUCGAAAAAAUGUUCUUUGCAAAAGAGUUUAAAACCUGAAAGUUUGGGGACGAAGGUGCUGUAGGACCACCCUUGGAAGACCUAACUUUACCCUCUUUUGUCUCGUGGGCUUUAUUAACGACUGGAAAAGCAGGAAGCCCAAAACUUGUUUCUUCACAUGGGCUCUCUUUAAAUUGGGCCCUAAUUGAAGAUUAGGCCUUUAAAAUGGCAUCGAGCUUAGGGGACCUAGAAAUGUUUCCCACCACUAGGCCCAUUUGACUCCUUCCCAGGCCCUUCUUUCUUUUUGAAACUCCAACCAAAUUUGAAUUUGAAAAAAAAAAAAAAAAAGCAAGAAAGAGGCUUAUAGUUGUAUCUCUUGUUCUCUCUUGUGGCGCCAUGUGUUCCUACAACUUUUUUAGGCUUGAGAAAGAAGCUUCCUCCUACUGAAUUCAACUUGCCCCUAUUACGGGUUGACUCAAUUCUCAAAAGGUUGACUUCUUUUCCUCUGAUGACUAAAACUGAAACCAUGAAAAACUAGGCUUCAUCUUCCACCUCCGGCAACACAAGCAACACGACAUUUGGGUGCAUCUCCACCCACAACUUUACCUUCGACAACUCUACAAGCUUCAAAGAGUCCUGGAAUACAUCCUUUACCUUCCCCAAAUUCUUCAAAAUGUGGCUCAACUGAUUCUCAUCCCACAAAUGAAAAAUGAAGGCCCUUUAGUUCUAUCAAACCCUUUUCUGAAGUUUCCAAGUACUACAAUAUUUUCUCUUAGUGACCAUUUCUUCAGAAGAAUAGACCAUCCUCUCACUGUCAUCCUCCCCUGAUCUUGGAACCAUUCGGCUCUCCCUAUAAAAUCCACAAAGAAACACCCUUUGUAAACACAAAUAGGGGUUACAUACACCAUUCCUUUCAUACCCAUCAUCCUCGCAAUAACUUUUCCAACAUAAACCCAAUCAUGAACUCUUCCUUGACUUUCACAUAUUAUAACUUUGGCCCAUUUUCCAACUGGCAAUAAAGCUCCAUUCCUUGGUUCCUUCUCUACAACAACAUCUGCAUUGGACCAACAUCCUUUGUGAAUGCCCUUACCCACCUGAAAAUCUCCAUACGCCUCAUUCGAAGCACUUAUAGCAUGAGCAUAAAAUUCCUACACUGAAGAAAUCACCUUCCUAAGGGCUUCCCAUCCACUGCCUUUAACACCCUCAAGAACAACCAAAGUUGAGGGUUUCCAUUUUGUUACAAAUUUUGUAAUUUUCAGGAAUCUCCUUCUAUUGUUGAAGCAAAUCUCCAGCAAAUGAGUCCUAGUCUUGCCCUUAGUCUUUCCAAUAAAUCCCUUGGCAACCUCCAACUCCACAUCUUUCUUCAAUUGCUCCAACAACCACUCCAACUCCUCCUUUCCAAAACCCACUGAGAAGAUGUAACCUUGGCUUCUCUCUAUUAUUGAAAUCCAAGUUCCCCAAGGGAACUUUCAAACUUAACCUUGAAAGCCUUCUUCUCCACUUCAAAGCUCAACUAAGUAGCCUUAUUCUACUUUUUGGAACACAAAAACAUCAUUACAUGGCAGUUUAGCAUACAUACUUGGUUGGGAACUUGAAUUGAAUUCAUCCUAACCAGUCUCAUCACUAUUCCAGACUCUUCACAACAUCAAUACGAAUGAGUUCCAAUCAACAAGGAACUUAAAAGUGGAAGAGGAAAACCCUCUUUGCAUUAAACUAGUUCAAUAAGGAUUCAAUAGGGAAAUCAUGGAACCCAGCUUUAUAGAAAUCAAUUAAUACUUAUACUUCAAAACAAAAAUCAACUUACCUUAGAUGAGGAACACCAAUCUUUAGCAAUCCUAGUAGUUAUAUUGCGUUACUGGUCUCAACAAAAUUGUGCAAUAGCAAGGAAGUACAUAAAAAUGGAGAUCUGUCCCCAAAAACCAAGGAAUCUCUAUCUCUUAUAGAGUGGUGUUAGGUGUAACAAGUUGUUGUUUCACUUAAAUAGCUACCAGGUGUCCUUUAUCUGCGAGUUAUGAGUGUCCCUUCUACAAUCAAGCAACUUGUGUGAUAGCUUGUGUAGUUGGGUUAUGAUAAGGACAUGUGGGUUGUUUCCAGCCACAAGUUGGUGAAGAAACACAACAUUCUAGCAAUUGCUAGAUGUCCUUUACAUGUUGUUGAUGAGUGUCUUGUGUUGUGUUCUUUGUGUUCCAUUUGUAUUUGCACUAAUAACUUGUGUGACUGAAUUAUAGUGAAGUUGUGUGGUCUAUUUUCAUUCACAUUAAUGGUGAUGUAGCAUUGGUCAUGGGUGAAGAACCUUAAGUGCCACUAUGUACAAGUGAACAUUUUCUUUUCAAAAGAACCUUUCUCCUUUAGAGGAAUCCACACUAAGCUGUCAUAGAUUUUCAGCAAGAAUAUGACACCCCUCAAGAAGACCCUUACUUCCAAGGAAAAUUAUAGUAUAUCUCCGUAGUCUCCAUUGAUUUAACUGAACAAAUAAAGAAUCUCCCCGCACCAUUGGAUUGAUGCUCCUAGUACAACCACCCUCUUCAGCCCAAGCCUUGACGUACUCCUUUACAUCUUCAUCCCUACAAUAUGCCUCCACCAUUUCUAGCCAACAAGACAUGCUCACCUCCCCAAACCUAAUCCAAGAGGAUAAUCCUUUUCUCAUCUCUAGAAUUUGACUUUUUAGCCUCCAAUUAACUUCCUCAAGUGAAAUUUCAAAAUAUUUUGACUCAACUGCAAACCAGUUCCUCCUUCCUUUCCCUCCUGAAUUUUUUUUUUUUUUUUUUUUUUGUGGUUUCUUAUUCUUAUUACACCAAAGUAGAACAUGGAAGAUUGGAAAGGUACUUCUAUAUUUCAAACCAUAUAUGUUGUGGGAAUGAAACUUGUAAACAAAUUAUUGAUGGAGACAAAAAUAUGAAUAUAAUGUCUAAAGUAAUUUUUCCAAGGUUGAAUUUGCCAUAGGAGACACAUCCUCAACUAGAUUUAACUCAUUUCCUAAUAGAAACUAAAAAAUUAAGAUCUAAUAUUGAAAAAAUUGGAUGUAUAGAACAAGAUUUAGAAGAAAUAACAAGUGGUGUAGCACAAGGCUCAAAGUCACCUAUGUUUUCCAGAUGUAAUUUAUUCCAAUCAAAAGAUUGAUAGCCUUUCUUAGACUUAUCUCUUCAAGAAUACAUUUGUAACUCAUAGAGGUUUUUUAGUUUCCUUUUCCUCCAUAACUAGUUGAUCUAGAUGAAAUUUCUUCUUGGUUAAUUUUAGCCAUAGGAGAUAUGGAAGGUGGUUGUAAUGUAGGCUAAGGAUGUUGUAAUAGAGGCAGAGGAUUAACAACAAAUGUUAGUAACAUCUCACCAUCCCAAGGAUGAUCUUCCACACUUCGGUUCUCACCCUAAAAAGAACUUUAGGCAAAAUAUGGUUGUGACUUGAAGAAAAUGACAUCUAUAGUAACAAAAAACUUCUUAGUUGGAAGAUAAAAAUAUUGAUUUUCUUUGUAAGAGAAUAGCCAAGAAAGACGCUUAAGUGACCUAGGAUCAAGUUUACUCCUAUCAUGCUUUUAGAUACAAACGAAUGUUGUAUAACUAAAAGUUUUUUGUGUAAGAGUGUUGAACAAGUGAGAGGUUAGAAGAGCACAUUUAAGAAAGUCCAAAAGUGUCUUAAAAUUGUUGACCCGGUCAAGCAUUCUAUCAAUGAGAUAACAAGCUACUUGGAUAACUUCUCACAAGUAAUUUGGCAUUCCCAUGGUAAACAAGCGUAGGCAAUAUCAAGUAAAUGUCUAUUUGUCCUCUUAGCUAUCCCAUUUUGUUGAGGGGUAUCAACUCAAGAUGUUUGAUGAAAAUACUAUUUUCAUUCAUGUAGGUCUACAAGGUAAAAGAAAGAAACUCCACUCCAUUAUUCUUUCGAAAAAUUUGUGUUAUACAACCAAUUUUUCUAAAUGCUUAAGCUUAUAAGAAAAUUGAUUGUCUAACAUAAUAUCAAAGCCUAGUUUGAUGAGAGGUUAUGUGUUCAAGCCUCACUGCAUAUUUAUUUCCACAAUUUAUUAAGCCCAAAAGAGGUUGAUUGUGGUUGUUUGCCUAUACAUGUGCCUCUCCACAUGUCAAAGAGCAUGAUAUAUAUAGUGGACCAAAAGUGUACAAGUUUAAGGUUUUAAGAAAGUUGUUUAACAUGGGAUUAGCCAUGACGAAAAUGUUGUUAAAACUCAGUAAAAUAGCGUUGAUAUUUUAGGUUUCGGUGGAGCUUGAUUGAAAUUAUUAUAGAAUAUAUCUCUUGCCUGAAAUUUCUAGAUAUGUUCCAAUUUUUUCUCCAUUUAUCGGAUUUUUUUUUUUCGAUUUUUCCCUGAUUUAUAGGGAUUUUGUGGAUUUUUCAGCUGCACAUGUAUGUCGGCCAAAGGGUUCUCAACCCAUUUCAAAAAGUGAGAUUGGCAUGCCUAAGGCUUGAACACGGUUCUUCUAGGAGAAAAGCCAGCUUUCAUUUGCUUAAGAAACCAUGCCCUUGUUAAAUUUCUUACCCUACAUAUUAUAUAUAGUAUAUUGGAACAUAAAUUUUGUAUGCAUUUAAAUAAAAUGUUAAAAAAAAAAUUGUCAAAAUUUUCUUUGAUAUUUUCUGCUAUAUUCUGAUAUAUCCGUAAAAUCCAACUAUUGAUAUAUAUGUAAAAAUCGAUAUUUUCAUCCUUGGUAUCAAAGUCUCAUUUGGCAAGAGGUCAUGUGUUCGAGCUUUAUCAUUUGUUAAUUUCCUUAAUUUAUUAAGCCAAAAAAAAAGAGGUUACUUUAUUUCCUUAAUUUAUUAUGCCCACGUAUAAACCCAAAUGAGGCUAACAUGUGAGAGAGGAUAGUAAAGUAAAUUAUAUAUGUUUUGAACCCAAAUCCUACAAGUUUAAGCUUUGAAGAGAGUUGGUAGUUCAACAACCUUAAAUUUAGCUUGAAACAAAUGUUGAGUCAUUCUAUGAAAGGUUUGGAACACUUUAGCUAUUUCAGAUUUUUCUUUAAGAAAGUAUACUCGACAUAAUUAGGUAUUUCAGAAGUAAAAAACUAAUUUGCCUUUGAUACAUUGGUCAUAAGUGAAGGAUCCUAAAUGUCACUAUGUACAAGUGAAAAAUGUUGAAAUUAUUUAUAGAUUUGGAUAGGAAAAUUGUUGAAGAAGAUAGGAUCAACUGAGAUAAUUAGCAAGAUAUUAGGAGAUUUAUUCUUUUGUAAUAUAUUAGACAACUGUAUAUUGUUAGGUUGUUAAGUUGUUUCCAAUUUUAGUGUUGAGAAAAUCCUCUAUAAAAAGGAAGCCAUGUAUACAGUUUUGAAUAUAGAAUAAAAAUACAAAAAAUAUAUUCCUUUCCUAUUUUGUUUACAUGGUAUCAGAGCUACCCUAAUUCACCCCAAAAAACCCUUGCAAUUUUUUUUUUCUUUCAGCGUAUUUUUUUUUGCUAACCAAUAGCCAUGUCUAAUAUUUCUUUUAAGUCAAACACACUUGUUUCCUUUUCCAACCUAACAACUAAACUUGCAACCUAAACCCAUAAUACGGAACCCCAUCCUAUUCAAAUUACCACCAUUCGCCUCAAUGGUGACAAUUUUUUAAGAUGGUCUCAAUCAGUUCGCAUAUAUCUUAGAGGGAAAGGGAAGAUUGGGUACUUGACUAGAGACAAGGUGGCACCGACAUCGGAGGAUCCUCUGUACACAACCUAGGAUGUAGAAAAUUCAACGGUGAUGACAUGGCUCAUGAACUCCAUGAAUGAGGAGAUUGGCUCCAAUUAUAUGUUCUACUCCACAACCAAAGAAUUGUGGGACAAUGUGAAUUAGAUGUACUUUGAUUAAGGUAAUCAAUCCCAAGUGUAUGAAUUAACCCUUAAACUUGGUGAGAUUUGGUAGGGAGAAGAAUCUGUCACCAAGUACUUUAGUUUGUUGAAGCUUCUUUGGUAGGAUUUGGAUCUGUUCAACGACUACGAAUGGGAGUCCAUUGAUGAUGCUAAUUAUUACAAAUAGACUGUGGAGGCUCAUAGGAUUUAUAAGUUUCUUGUUGGACUUAAUGUAGAGUUUGAUGAGGUUAGAGGACGGAUUAUUGGCAGAGUUCCUCUUCCUAAAAUCAGCGAAGUCUUUGUUGAAGUUCGAAGGGAAGAAAGUCAACGACAUGUAAUGUUAGGAAAGAAAUCUAUUAGCAAAACUGUUGGAAGUUCUGCACUCAGUGUUGCUAAAGUUCCUGCCAAUAAAGCAACCAGUUUUCAGCGAGGACCUGGAGAAAGGCCAUGAGUCUAGUGCGGUUAUUGUAACAAACCAUGCCAUACUCAAGAAACCCAUUGGAAAAUCCAUGGAAUACCAGCAAAUUAGCAAAGCAGCAUGCUUGGAUAGAGAAGUAAUCGUUCAAAUCCCAAGGCCAAUGCUACUAUCAAUGAAUCAAAGUUAAGUCCCUUCAGCAAGGAGCAGAUGGAUCACCUUCUAAAACUGCUAAAAUCUAAUUCUCCAUUGGGUAUUCCUAGUAUUUCUCUAGCACAAACAGGUAGUGCACCUAAUGUCUUUUCAUGUUGUUUCAAUUCUACUCCAUGGAUGAUUGAUUCUAGAGCUUCUAACCAUGUGACUAGUUUUUCAAAUCCGUUCAACACUUAUUCACCAUGUUCUGGCAGUGAAAAAAUUAGGAUUGCAGAUGGUAGUUUCUCACCUAUAGCUGGAAAAGGCUUGAUAAAAUUAUCUGAGAACAUAGAUCUUAAAUUUGUUCUUCAUGUUCCAAAACUAGCAUGUAAUCUUUUUUCUGUGAGUAAACUUACCAUAAACUCUAAUUGUCAUGUUUUUUUUUCUAUGAUUCUCACUAUGAAUUUCAGGACCAGAACUUGAGGAAGAAGAUUGGCAGUGCUAAGUUGAUAGAUGGCCUUUACUACUUUGAUGGUGUUUUCUCUAACAAACGAGCUUAGGGCCUUAGUAGUGUUAGUUCUCUUUCUGUUUAUGUACAAAUAAUGCUUUGGCACUUAAGACUAGGACACCCUAGUUUUCUAUAUCUUAAACAUUUGUUUCCUUCUUUGUUUAAAGGAUUGGAUUGUUCAUCUUUUUAUUGUGAAAGUUGUUAUUUAUCUAAGAGUCAUCAUACUACUUAUUAUCCAAAAUCUUCUAUUCCCUCAAAACCAUUUUAUUUAAUACAUAGUGAUGUGUGGGGACCUUAAAAAAUUACAACAAUUUUUGGAAAAAAAAAAUGGUUUGUUAUCAUAAUAGAUGAUUAUACACAUUUAUGUUGGGUUUAUUUGAUGAAGGAAAAAUCAGAAGUUGGAAAACUUUUCCAAAAUUUUUAUAACAUGAUUGAAACUCAGCUCCAAGUAAAAAUUGGCAUUUUUUCACAUUGAUAACAAAAUUGAGUAUUUAAAUGAAUUUUUGGGUAGUUUUUUUGAAAGAAAAAGGUAUCCACCAUCAAUCUACUUGUGUGAAUACCCCUCAACAAAAUGGAAUUGUUGAAAGAAAAAAUAAACAUUUACUUGAAGUGGCUCAUGCAAUUAUGUUUUCCAUGAAUGUUCCAAGAUACUUUUAGGGGAAAUCUAUUUUGACAGCCUCCUAUCUCAUUAACCGAAUGCCUACCAGAAUUCUUAAGUACAUCACACCACUAGAAUGUUUUCAAAAAAUCUUUCCUUCAUCUAGAAUGUACUUUGACUUACCCCUAAAAGUUUUUGACUGCAUUGUUUUUGUUCACCUGCCUAAUCAUAAUCAAACUUAAUCCAAGGGUAGAAAUAUGUGUUUUCAUUAGGUAUGCCUCUAAUUAAAAAGGGUAUAAAUGCUGUAAUCCCCAAACCAGAAAAAUGUAUGGAUGGAUGUCUCUUUCAUUGAAGAUAAAUCUUUUUUUACACAAAUCUCAAGGGGAGAAUGAUGUAAUGGAAGAAAAUUUUUGGGAUUUAUCUCCCACUCCAUUACCAAAUACAAUUUUAACUACUACACCUCCUAUUUACAAUCCCAAGGAACAAUGUGAUAAGACUGACAAAAAUUCUAGUCAUAUAGUGCUAAACAUUACUGUAUCUGAAACAGGGGGAGAAUCAGUACAACCAAAUAUUGAGUGUCUGGUUUAUACUCGGAGAAAGACUCAUCAAAAGAGUCAAAUUCAACCUAUUCCUCUUGGUAAUGACCAAUCUCGACCUUUGGGAACUAAAUCUCUCAAUAUCACAGGUAGUCCUACUUCUAACCUACUUUCAAUUCCUGUCAUUUCUUCUUUAGACCUUGUUAUUGCUAUAGCCCUUAGAAAAGGUACACGAACCUGCACUAAAUAUCCCAUUUCCAAAUAUCUAUUCUAUAAAAAAACUCUUUAAAACUCAUAACCUAAAAAAUCUUACACAUGUUUGUUCCAAGAAACAUUUAGGAAGCCCUUGAUGAUCCAAAUUGGAAAGUAGCAGUGAUGGAGGAGAUGAAUGCUCUUAAAAGAAGUGGUACUUGGGAGUUAGUAGAUUUACCUAAGUAGAAAAGAAUUGUAAGUUGUAAGUGGGUCUUUACUGUGAAAUGUAAAGUUGAUGGGAGCAUGGAACUAUAUAAGGCGAGACUAGUAGCAAAAGGAUUUACUCAAACCUAUGGUAUUGAUUACUAGGAAACUUAUGCUCAUGUGGCCAAGAUAAACUCAAUUAGAAUUUUGUUAUAUUUGGCUAUAAAUUUCAACUGGCUUUUACACUAGUUAGACAUAAAAAAAUACCUUCCUAAAUGGAGAUCUAGAGGAGGAAGUAUUUAUGAACCUACCACUCGGAUUCGAGGAGAAGCUUGAAUCAAACAAAGUUUCCAAAUUAAAAAAAAAUCCCUAUAUGGUCUCAAACAAUCUCCUAAAGCUUGGUUUGAGAGAUUUGGAAAAGCUAUAAAGAAUUGUGGCUAUUGUAAAAGCCAAGCUAACCAUACUAUGUUCUACAAACAUAGUAAAGAUGGUAAGAUUGCUAUUCUAAUUGUUUAUGUGGAUGAUAUAGUUUUGACUGACAAUGACAAAGAAGAGUUGGACAGAUUGAAAAGAAGACUUGUAGUAGAAUUUGAAAUCAAGGAUUUGGGAGCCUUAAAGUACUUCCUUGGAAAAGAGUUUGCUAGAUCCAAAGAAGGUAUAUUUGUAAACCAAUGUAAAUAAGUCCUUGAUUUACUUGGUGAAACAGGACAACUAGGUUGUAAACUAGCCGAGACACCUAUUGACCCAACAGAAAAUUGCUACCCUCGAAAAAUGAUGAAGUGAAUGAUAAAGAACAGUAUCAAAGGCUAGUUGGGAGGUUGAUUUACUUGUCACCCACAUGUCCAAAUAUUGUUUUUACAGUAAGCAUGGUGAGCCAGUUCAUGCAUGCACUUGAACAACAACACUUUGAUGUUGUUUAUAGAAUCCUUAGAUACCUAAAAGGGUCACUUGGAAGGGGCUUAUUGUUUAAAGGUCGUGGGCACCUACAAGUUGAAGCAUUUACAAAUGUAGAUUGAGCUGGGAGUGUAAUCAUUAGGCAUUAAACCUUUGGUUACUGCACCUUUGUUAGAGGUAACCUUGUCACUUCACGAAGCAAAAAACAGAAUGUGGUGGCUAGGAGUAGUGUAGAGGUUAAGUUCAAAUAAGUUGCUCUUGGAAUUUGUGAGGUGUUGUGGAUUAGACGACUAUUGGAAGAAUUAAACAUCUCAAGUGGCCUACCAAUGAAAUUGUAUUGUGACAACAAAUCAGCUAUUUCAAUAGCUCAUAAUCUAGCACUUCACGAUCGAACAAAGCAUGUGGAGGUAGACAAUCACUUUAUCAAGGAAAAACUCGAGAAUAGAUUGAUAUGUAUGCCAUAUAUUCCUACUACUGAGCAAGUGGUUGAUGUGCUUACAAAAGGAAUUCUUACAAAGCAGUUUGACUGACUAAUUGGCAAACUAUAUCUUCCAUGGCCAGCUUGAGGGGAGUGUUGAAAAAGAUAGGAUCGNNNNNNNNNNNNNNNNNNNNNNNNNNNNNNNNNNNNNNNNNNNNNNNNNNNNNNNNNNNNNNNNNNNNNNNNNNNNNNNNNNNNNNNNNNNNNNNNNNNNUAGCAAGAUAUUAGGAGAUUUAAAUGUACAAGAUAUUAGGAGAUUUAUUCUUUUGUAAUCUGUUAGACAACUGUAAAUUGUUAGGUUGUUAAGUUGUUAAGUUGUUUCUUAUUUUAGUGUUGAGAAAAUCCUCUAUAAAAAGGAAGUUGUGUAUACAAUUUUGAAUAUAGAAUACAAAUACAAAAUAUACAUUCCUUUCCUAUUCUGUUUACAAAAAUGAUAAUAAUGAUGCUUGGACAAUUCUCACAAUUACCAAUGGAAAUCAAUUACCUUCUUAUUCCUAAAUAAAGUUGGGUAUUGAUAACCCAACUCUUGGUAGCUUGGCAUGUAAGGGUAUCAACAAAAUUUAUACCUAAGGUCCUUACACUAAAGUAGCAAAGCUACUAUAGCAUAGUGGCUCUAGGAUCGAACACUGGGAAGGGUUUUUACUUUAACUGGUGAAGUUCGGAGGAUGGAGUGAACUUUUCUUAAUAAAAAUUAGGUUAAGAUGAAAAAAUAAAAAGAUAAAGGUGUUGUAAACUAAACUAACUUGAAAAUAGGUUAAAAGAUGGAAAAAGAAGUUUCUCAAAGCUUUGGAUAGCCAUGCUUAACUCACUAUGUAAAAAUGGAGAUUUUGGGACUUUUCACCUCGAGUUGGGGAAGCAACUAAGGUGAUGCUUACUUCCUGAACCGGUAUGAGUUUAACAACUGAGUUUUAGUCCUUGAAAACUUACAAAAAGGGUAGCUGAACCUCAUAAAUGCCCUUUUAAUGAUAUAGGUCAUCUCCUCGACUUGCAAUACAAUGGCUCGUAGGAGAUAACUAAUGAACGUCAGUGGAUCUAACAAUAAGAAUCCACUAAGACCAAAAGGUUAUCAAGUAUUGGCCAUUCAAAGCAAGUCAGAGGGAUUAAAAGCUUUACUUUGAAUGAAAACAUUUAUGACGCUCAGCUACUUACAUUCAUGGCUUGGAAAUCUCCAUCCUGACACGGGAGCUUCACAUGGCAUCCAUUACUUCAAGAAACUAAAAGGUUUUAGCCUCUCAUCCUUGGGGAUUUCAUCCUCCAAGGGUGUUUGGCUACUAAGAAAAUGAGAAAGAAAAGAGAAAAGAAGCUUCUGAACAAAAGUGCUCUUAUAACUUAUAAAGUUACAGGUUACAAGAUUAGAUGAUGUCUGAGGCUCUUCACCUCUAUUUAAAGACAAUAAAAAGCUAAAUUACAAGAGCUAUUACAAAAGCAACCUUUUCAUUGGUUGAUUACAAGGGUAAAAUAGGUAUUUACAAAGCUAAAAAUCAAGCAAAAUAUCUUGGANNNNNNNNNNNNNNNNNNNNNNNNNNNNNNNNNNNNNNNNNNNNNNNNNNNNNNNNNNNNNNNNNNNNNNNNNNNNNNNNNNNNNNNNNNNNNNNNNNNNGUCUCAAAAUAGGGGAUUCAAAGGAAUUUAGCAAGGUGUGUAAAUCCACUUGCGAAAUUUUCGCAAGGUGGGUCUUCAUGGUGCGAAAUGGCAAAAUUUCGCACCAUGAAGAAAAUCUCCUUGCGAAAUUGGUCAUUUGACAUGAUGUAGUUGUCUUCUGAAGGCCAUAUCUUCCUCAUUUCAGCUCCAAAUCAUACACGGUUUGAAGCGUUGGAUUCUUGACUUCCUAAGCUUUCAAAUGGUAUAUAGCAUGCAAAAAAUAGACUUCGGGAAGUGCUUCAAAAGUGCGAAAGAAGACUGCAGCUGUUUUCUUCACUCUGUUUUCCUCUUCUCCAUUGCUUGUGCUCGUGUUUCCACUUGAAAUUCAAGCCUGUAAUUGUCCAAAAUCCUUGCUUAACUCGCCCAAAUAGCUCCUCCAUCAAUUGGCAUGCUUGAAUUGGUUCAUAAGCUAAUAAAAACAUGUAAACUUGCCACAAAAUGGUUAAAACCAAUUACUAAGGACCUUAAUGAAUUAAUUGGGUUAAAUGAAUAUGAUUACUACUUAAAGGUGCUUAAAACCAUUAUAAUUAGAUCUACAAAAUAGCACUUUUUGGUAGUAAUCAGGUAUGAAACUUUCAAAUGUGAAGAACUUGAAUAUCCUAAUCUAUGAUGCCGCAAUUUAAUUUCCUUCUCAUAAACAAAAAAGUACCAAUAUGAGUAGCUUAAGACAAAUAUCCAAAGACAUCUAGGUCCUCAAAGUAAUAGAGUCCAUCCACCUAUUUAGCAUUGCUAAUUUUCUUCCUAAUACAUAGGUUCUGAAAUGCAUAAUGAGUAGGAAAAAAUUUAGACACACAACUAAGAUCUUUUAUCAAUUUUCUAAUUGAAUGAAGAUUACAAGCUAGUUAAGAAGCAUACAACAUUGGAUUUAGGACUAGGUAUUUAGAAAUAGUAAUAGAACCCUUUCUAGUGACAAAAGAAAAAGAUCCAUCUACCCAUGAAGAUUAUUAACUUUUUGCCUGCUUGAACAAGUGAUAUAAGUUGAAAACAAACUUAAUACAGUAGUCAUAUGAUUAAUUUCCCUUAAAUCAAUGAUCUAAAGGUUUGAAUUUCUUGAGGUGACAUUCUAAGUAGUUAAAAAAUUAUUUGUUUGGUCUAGGUUGGGUGAGGAAGAAGGGUUAGAAAACAAGUGUGCUUGACCUAUAUAGUUGUUCCUAUAGUUCUUUGGUAAAGAGAUUUGAUUCCUGUUUUCAUUUGUAAUAGAAAUCAAGAUUGAAUUCUCAAUAUCAUCCUUCUACUUGCCUCCCCUUUAAUAUCAAACAGCAGCCAGAAAAUUGAUAUCAAAACGCAGCAAGUUUGCUUUGAUACCAUGUGCAAAUUCUAAAUAUAUUUUUGUUUCAUCUAACAAAACUACACAAUAUGUCAUUUAUGUACACUAGAAACUGCCUACGAAACGAAAAUUUCCUAAAUUACAAUGAGGAGAUCAAGGAGAAAAGUUAGUUAAAAAACAAGAAAAUAGGCCAACUAGAAGACUACUUAAAUGUAGUCUACCAUUCAGCUUACAAAUGAGGCUAGAAGCAAGUAAAAAUUUAGUGGUUGACUUUUCACAAUUCUGGGCAAUGGCUCUGUUCUAACUAUGGUUAAUCCUCGAAGGCUCUUCCUUCCUCUCUAACCCAAGUACAUUCAAGACUCUCCUCCAAGGUUUCCUUUCUAAAACCCUGAAAGGAAAUUGUCGCCAUCCCGGUCUCUUUUGAGGCUCAAUUCGUGAAUUCUUGCAGGAGAGAAGUUUUUUCACAGCUCAUAUAUUAAAGGACACUAGAAAAAGACACGGCCAAUUGUAUCAUCACUCCUUUGGUUGAUUUGACAUAGUUUCUUCACUCUCACUGUCUAACAUGAUGACUUCACUCAUUUGGUAGUGUUCAUGGAAGGUAGUUAAUAUAUAACAAAAGAAGUGUACUUUCUGAUCUUGUUUUGGAGAGGAGAUAUAAAUUGCAAUCCAUUAGACAGGAAGUGUCCCCCAAAAUGUUUGGAUCUGCAAAGGUUGUAAAUACUGACCAGUCUCAUCUUCCAUGAUGAGUAUUAAAGGUUUGGUUCUUUUUAUAUAUUGAGCAUAAGGAUUGCUCAUGUCAUUUUGAAGUGUGACGAUCUAUUUAGUGAUGUGAAAUUGUGAAUUCUUUUUGCUUAUUUUAUCCAGUAAUCAUAUGGUAUUUCAUUCAUCAAUGCCUCAGGAAAAAACAUAAAAAUACGGCCAUACUAUGUUUUUGGCCGUCUCAUCUUUUUCCCAUUGGUCAAAUAAUCAUCUUGGCUUUUGAAGUCAAAGUUUGAGUUUUGAAAGGAGAAAAGAAUACCUACUUAUAUGAAGUGAUGAUUUGUUUGAAUGAAUGUGUGUGAUAAAAUGCGUGCGAAUGGGUGGCAGACAGAGAAGUGGGUGGCAGACAGAGUGGUAAAUGGCACCGAAUCUUCGUUCAAAAUAGUAGGCUCCUUUCAAUAAUGGCCCAUGCACCCAUCUUAUUCACUAUGCCUUUUCAUGGAAAAGCCCUUCUUAUAAUUCAAGACAUUACUACUUUUGAAUUCUAAAUUAUGAAUUUUUUUAUAUUGAAAAUUCUUCACAAUAUUCAGAAUAAUGUUUUUAUGACUUUUUUUUUAAAAAAAAAAUUUUAAAUUUAUUUUUUAAAAUAAUUAAUGUUCAAAACAAAUUCUAUGAGGCAAAUUUUAACUUUUUGAGCUAAAAAAAAUUAAAAAUAAAAAUGUUGUAAACCCAACAAAAGUUUUUUUUUUUUUUUAAAGAAAUAUGGGAAAUGGAAAUAAAUAUGGAUGGAAAAUAAAUGUGUGUGUGAUACCUACUAAUACUUUGAAAGAAAUUUUUUUUCAAAUAGUAGAAAGACUAGAAAUACUUCUUAAAAUCACUAUCAAACGCACUCUUAAUUUAAAAUUAGGUGGGGUCCUUAGUUUCUUUUUGGUAGUUAAUUUUUAUUUAUUUAUUUAUUUAUUUUAUUAUUAUUAUUGUUAUUUGCCUAGGAUGCUGUGUGAAUCCACCUUAAAUCUCAAGUGUGAGACAGAUCAAGGUGGUCUGUGAUCCUUCAACUUUUUCUAAGAAGGUGGUUUGUCUAGGUGUUGAAUUUUAAAAAAAGUCAGAUAUUUUAGAGAUAACAUAACGAAUAUGAAAGUGAUGGUUUAGAGGGUAGGGUGAUUUUAUGGUUGCUAAUUUCAUAUCAUUGUCGCUCCUUUCAUGGCAUCCCAAUUUUGGAAAUACUUUGAUGGAAAAUCACCUAUAAAGUGAAAAACUCCAAAUGAAGUUGUCUCCAUCUGGAGUCAUGAUAACGUGAAGAGAACGGAAAAGACUUCAGCAUUCUCUAACCCCCGCUUUUUUUUUUCCUUUUUUUUUUCUCCUUUUUUUAAAAAAAAAAAUAAAAUCAUUUGGUUGAUAAAAGAAAUAUGAUGAAUUCAAAUAAUAAUACAAGGUAGUCAAAUUACUUCUAGUAUAUAAAUUUUUCAUACUUCUGGUUGUUGCACCCCACUAGAUAAGAAAAAGAAAAGGCAAAUGAAGGGAUAAAACUAGCAUUUGCAGUUUAUUACAUACCACAGGCGUCUUCCAUUGUUAGUACCAUCUCAUUACUCAACAAAACAGGAAGUUUCAGGAAGAAAAAGAGAGAGAAAUCAAACAGCGGUAGAAUAAGAAGAAAAAAAGAAGGAAGAAAUAGAACAGUAUAAGAAGCACAUGAAUUUAAAUCUCUCAAGAAAACUAUGGUUGGAUGAUUUAGGGCAUGUUUGACAAUUAUUUUUUUGAACAUUUUUUAUUCUUCAAAAAAAAAUAAGGAAAAUAUGUUUGACAAUUUAAAAAUAGAAUAUAGUUUUAUAAUCUUAAAAACAAAAAAUAGCUUAUUUUCGGAAAAUAAUUAUAUAAAUAUAUAGUGAUUAAAAAUAAAGUAUUACAAAUAAAAGUUAUUUUUAAAAAUAUAAAAAAAAAUAUUAAGAAUAUUUCAAUUUCUAAACAAACUUUUGUAUUGAAAAACAUUAGAUAAUAGUAUUUUUCAAAACUAUUUUCGAGAACAAUUCCCAAACAAAGCCUUAAUUUCUAUAUCUCUCAAUUUCCUUCAUUGUCCAUUUGGGUUAUCACAUUCCAAAAUUUUUUAUAUCCCAUCAAUGUCAUUUUCCAUCCAAAUGCACCAGGGAACCUUGUUCAGAGGUUGAAAAGGGUGGUGGUGAUAACACAUCAAGAUUAGCCUUGAAAACUAAAGAAAAAUGAAAUAAAAUAAAGCUUUUCCUACAAGUUUUUAUUUACUUAAAGAGAUUCCAUAUCUUCCUUGAAUUUUAUGUUUUAUGAUUAGGUGCUCAAAGAUUGAAGUUUUUGCCUUUAUUUCAAAUGAAAGACUUGCAUACAAGUUAUAAGGUUGAUGCAGAGGAGCCCAAAGCAUAGUUUCACUCAGCCAACUAUAAGAAGGUUUGCAAGUAAAACAACCUCAAGGGACUUGUACUGCUGCUUAACUUCCCAUUAAGAAACCCAAACAGUUUUACAUCCAUUUGCUAACACAAACACAAGUUGAAGUAACACCAUGACUAAAAAAGAAAAAGAAAUGAAGAAAAAAGUCCAACAAUUCAAGGAAUAUACAUAAUAUUAAGAAAUCUUUCAAGGAAAUUUGGGUUGGAUAAAUUCAGCCUCUGUGCCCCCUUCUUUCUUUCCUUGUCCAUUUUCUUUGCCGUUUUCCAAAGGUUUUCACGAACCACUCAUGUUUCCAUGAGGUCAAGCAAUACCCAAUUGAAACUUCGAUUACUAGCCCACUUUUGUAUCACAUUAAUACAAAUUUCCAAUCAAAUUCACUAGUUGAACCUUGUUUAGAGGAUGAAGAUGUUGGUGGUGAUGCCUCAAAACUUCCACAUGCCCUUGACAAAGGACUUCCACACAAUCCCGAAUUCCCAUCAAAGGAAGCAUUUGGAAAUGUUGUAAAUUGUUUUCCUUGUGGUAUAGGCCCUGUCAAAUGAUUAUGAGACACAUUGAAGAAAGCAAGGAAUGUUAUCCUUGAUAGUUGCAAAGGGAUCUCUCCUGAGAGCUGGUUCUGAGAAAGAUCCAAUGACUCCAGCUGUGUUAGGUUCCCUAUGGAGGAUGGGAUAUGGCCAGUAAGAUUGUUGCUGCCAAGGUUCAGUAAAUGAAGCCCCUUGAGGUUCCCAAUGGAGGUUGGAAUUUGUCUUUUGAAAUUGUUGCCUGAAAAAUCAAUUGCUAUGAAAAUAUCAAGGAUCUUUUCAUAAAACCUCUGCAUACCUCUAUUUGUCAUUAUCAUUGAGUACAUGUAAGGGAUAGUCCAUGUAUACCUUGGGAUUUGAAACAUUGGGUUUGCGUACAUGUACCUAAGGUCGUUUGCAAUGUCUGUAAGUUUUAUGGCAUCCCAAUUUUGGAAAUACUCUUAUGGCAAAUCACCUAUAAACUUAUUGUUAGAGAGGUCAACGAUGCGUAACUUGGGAAACUUGAAAUUGGAGUGCCAGCUCCCUAUUAUGUGAACAAGAAACCAUUGAUUGCAUUACCAAAAAACUAAAUUUUCCAUUAUUCAAGCAAGCACAUCGAUACAAGAUAUCGUUUCAUUACAGAGUGCAAUAUGAAGAAAGAAGUGCAAUUAAAUUUUACAAAAUCUCAAGAUCAAAUUAUGGUUAUUUUUAUAUAAAUAAAGUUUAAGGAGGCAUAUUGGAAAGUAAUCUUGAAUUAGGAACUUUCUAAAUAUUAAAAUUAGAUUUCAUUUCUAAAAAGUUGAGAAAGAAUAUUUUAUUUAAAGUAGUUAUUCUAGUUUCUAUUUUUGAGUUGUUAAGUCUCAGCAGGUUUCUAUAUCUUAGGAUUAGGAGUUUCUAUUUUGUUUAGUGUGAGUAGUUAUAAAUAGGAUAUGUAAUGUUUGAAAAAAAAAUAGAGUGAUAGAAGACAAUAAAGUUUUAAUUCUCCUAAAUUUAUCUUCCUUUGUCAUUGUGUGUUUUUCUCUAUCAAUCUCAUCACUCGAACCAAAUUGGUAUCAAUGUUUUCGCAUAUCCAACAGGGGUUAAGUUCCAUUGUAAAGUUUUAAAUGCCACAUUAACACAAGCAAAAGACUUUUGCAAAAGAGCCAAAUAACUAAGAUCUUUAGUUCAUUGUUGAUUACACUCUGCAAUACUGCUACUUAAAUAUAAACCACCCAAGCACUUUUACAUUCUAUAGAGUUUGUGCUAACUCAUCCCACUUGCCCAACAAAGCCACAAGGUAAAACUCCACCACUAAGAGGGCCAAAAAUGAAAAAAAAAAAGUAUGCCAUGAUAUAUAACAGAUACAAACAACUAAACUUUUCAAGGAAAUUGUGCUUGGAUAAAUUUAAUAUUUGUUUUCCCUUUUGUUCGUCUUUCUCCGUUUUCUUUGUUCUCUUCCAAAAGUCUUCACAAACCAUUUAUGUUUUCAUACGGUCAAGCAGUACAAUUUUCCAAUCAAAAUCACUUGGGGAAGCAUUUCCAAAGGUUGAAGGGGAUGGUGUUAGUGACCAUCCCUUAGAACUUUCACAUACCCUUAACAAAGGAUUUCCACACAAUCCCGGGUUUCCAUCAAAUAAACUAUUUGGAAAUGUAUCAAAUAAACUAUUUGGAAAUGUAUCAAAUUAUUUUCUCUAUAGUAUAGACCCUGUUAAAUGGUUAUCAGACACACUAAAGAAUGCCAGGGAGGUGAAAGACCCCAGGUGCCUCAUUAUACUACUAGUAGUUAGAUAAAAGGACCCCAACUCUAUGUCAAGGCAAUGUCCAUUUUCACCUCUUUGCGAGAAAAUAAAUGGAAGAAUAUAAUAAAUAAAAGGUAGUCAUAUUACUUCUCGUACAUAAAUUUCCGGCCUUCUAGUUGUUGCAUCCCACUAGACAAGAAACACAUGGAUUUAAAUCUCUUAAAGAAAAAUGUGGUAAGAUGAUUUAUGGCAUGUUUAACAACUAUUUUUUAAAACCUUUUUUUUUCUAUGGUUGGGCAUGUUUGACAACUAUUUUUUUAUGAUAUCUAAAAAUGUAUUCCAUUUUUUUUCCUAAUUUUUUGUCCAUUUAGAUUGAUUGGAGUUUUUGGGUGAGUCAAUGCUUUAAGGUGUUGAAAGGAAUAAUUUAGGUGAAGUAUACAAAACUAUAUAAUUAGUAGGAAGUGUGUUCUUUUAUUUUUUUUUUCUUCUUUAUUAUUUCUCUUUCCAACUUACUCUUUUAGAUAUGUUUUGUUUAGUUUUCAAAAAAAUUAAAAGGAAAAAUAUAAGAGAAAUAAAAUAGAGAGAAUAAAUAAAUAAAGUCAAUAAAUUAUUUUUAUAUGCUAUUUUAAAUUUAUUGCAUUUAUUUUAUAUUUUAUAUAUAUGAAGUAAAUAAUUUGAAAAUGCACAACAAGAAAAAAGAGAUAUGGUGACAUUUAUAAUGAGUCACUAUAAACAUUGGGUGUCGCUCCAACAUAGCGUCACCUUAUCCAUUGGCACCAUAGAGGGUACCAAUUGGUGACUUAUUUGGAAGUGACACCAAAGCAGAUAAAUGGUAACACAUUCAGAAGCAACACCAUAUAUUUUUAGUUAUAUUUAAUUUGAUAUAGAGUUGCAUGAGAUAUAUAAGGUGUCAUAUUAAAUGCAUCACCUUUUAGUUAUGGUGUCACGUUAAAUGCAUCACCUUUGAAUUAUGGUGUCACAUCAUUGUAAAUGAUUAUGGAAGAUAUGGUUGUUUUUUAUUAAUUAGCCUGUUGAUUUUUGUAAUGCUUAUUAACAAGUAAGAUCUAUAUUUUGUCCAUAAAUAUAAUAAUCAUAUCACAUUUAACUUAUAUUUUCGUAAUGCUUAUGGAUUAACCUGUAAUACAUUACAUCAUCCAGUGAUAUUUGUAUAUCAAAUGUUUACAAAAUGAUAGUACAUCAAACUCACCGAAACUAAAAAAGAAAAGUGAAUACAUAUUAAAAUAUGAUUUAGAAAUGUUAAGCAUUCCAACAUUCAUGUAUACCUGCAUUUCAUAUGCAUAAAACCGACUAAUCAUAAAAUGACACAAGAGUUGCAUCCAAAAACCCAAAAUUCUCAAUACCAAAUAAAGUAACAUUGAUGUCCUAUAAUGUAUGGCAUAAGAGUCACAUCUAAAAACCCAAAAUGUUGUUGUUUCUUUCUCCUUUCUUUUUAUUCUUCAUAAUGUCUUCCCAAGAGUGUAUACCUGCAUUUCAUAGUUUAAUGAGAUUUAGAGUUUUAUUGAAAAUAAAAAUUAAUUGAUGUUAUAAAAAAUAAACAAAUCUAAGUACUAAUGUUUUCUUUUUUCUUUUUCCCAUUUUGAUAUAAAAAUAGUUUCUAAAAAAUAAGUAAUGUUAUACAAUACCAAUGGAAAAUUCAUAUAACAACUAAGGGACUCAUCAUGCAUGAUCAUGAUUUAUCAAUAUGAUUCAUGAUUAGUUAUAAUAGAAAAGAAGUUAAUUCUCCUCUAAUUUCAUCAAAUUCUACCUGAGAAUAUAUAUAUAUAUUUUUUUUAAUCAUAAAACUGAAAUCAAAUGAGAAUAACAUUAAUAUCAUAAUAAUUGGAAGUAUGAAACUAAGUACAAUUCAUUAAAUGAGUAAAACCUUUAAUACAAUAAUUGUUGAUUCUACAAUUAUCUCUUUAAUGAAUCUCAUAACAAAGCAGUCACAUUUGAACACAAAUAAAAACAAUUCAAGAAAAUAAAAAAUAAAGCAAAACUAGAAAAUCAAAAAAUAAAUCUAAAAUUUUAGAAAAUAGUAAUCUUCCACUUAAAGUCUGCACUUUUUAAAUUUAUUUUUUUAUAAUUCAUUGUGCUUUUAAAAAACAUUUUUAACAUUUAAUUCUUUUUAUAUUUUUUUUUAUUUCUUGGAAGAAUUUUUUUUAUUUCAAUAUUUUUUUGAUGUUCAUUUUGUGAAAUAACAAUGUCCAUUAAAUUUCAUCUCAAUUAUAUAAAAUAAAAUUUUAGUAACAGAAUAUAAAAAUGUUUUCAACUACUAAUAUGAGAGGACAUGAUAUUAUAACAAGCUUGAAGAUUGUGUAUAUAAGACAAAAAACCUAAUUCAUUAUUAAAAAAUGUUAAGAGAAAAAUUAGUACGAGAAAGAAUUAAAGAACCUUUCAUAAAAAUUAUUAAUUUUUCAGUCAUAACUCCAAUUAAUAUUUAUUUUUCUAAUUAAAAUAAUUAAUAAAAAAUCCGGAUAUGAAAAAUAUGUUCAAAUAAAAAUAAUAAAAGAUUAAAAACAUCAAAGGAAAAGAUAUUCAAUAUUUUAAAUUUUACUUUUGAUAUUCUUUAGAUCAUUAAAUUAUCAAAUAUCUUUUUCAAAAAAAAGAAAAAUGAAGAAAAUGAAGAGUUUUAUGGAAGGGAUUGGAAAAUUUUUUGUAAUAAAAGGAUUUUAUAGAAAUUUCCUAACCUUGAAAGGAAAAUUUCAUCAUUAAUCUCAAAUUACUCCAAAAUUUGGUCAAUGCAUAUAAAAAUAAUAAGAAAAGAAGAGAAAAAUAAAACAAAUUUUUAGAAUCCUUUUGAGGGAGAUGACAAUAUUGAGAAUAAUUUUCUCAAAAAUUAUUUUCCAAAUAUUACCAACCAAUAUCUUCAUCACAACAUAUUAUAAUAUUCUUAGAAAAUAAACACAUUAAAGGAAAUUUCAUAGAAAAUCAAAAGAAAAUUAUAAAAUAUCUUUUUUUUAAAAAAAAAAGUUUUAUGGAAGGAAAAUUUAUGUAAUAAAAGGAUUUUAUAGAAUUUUUUUAACCUUGAAAGGGAAAUUUCAUUAUCAAUCUCAAAUUACUCUAAAUUUUGGUGAACGCAUAUAAAAACAAUAAGAAAAGAAGGUAAAAAUAAAAAACAAAAAACAUAUUUUAAGAAUUAAAAAAUAUAUAUAUGAAUAGGACAAGAUGAGAUAUUAACCAUAAUACCAUGUAAAAGAAUUAAAAAAAAAAUCAAAAUAUGAGAUUUGAUCAUUUUUAUAAUCAUAAAAAUUUUCAUUCCUAUUUAAAUUUUUAAAAACAAUUCAUUUACAUUAAUAAAUAGAAAAUAAAAUUAAUUUCUCAUUGUUAAUUCCAACAUUCUAAACCAACUCCAACAUGAUAUGGAAACUAUUUCAUUUUUCCUUUUGUAGGAGAUGACAAUAUUGAAAAUAAUUUUCUAAAAAAUUAUUUUUCAAAUAUCACCGAUACAUAUCCUCAUCACAAUAUACUAUAAUAUUUCUAGAAAACAAACAGAAAAUCUCAUCAAAAGAAAUUUCUUCUAAGAUCAAAAGAAAAUUUCAUAUUGUAAAAUGUUUAUCCCUCAUUUUGAGUAUAAAAGAUAUUAAAAAAUCAUUCAUUUAUCUUAUUUUCAUUCAUUUUGGGGUUUAUGGAUUUAAUAAUGAAACAAAAGAUAUGGUGGAAUGUUAAACCUAAUUUUUACUUUCCUGCAACUCAAUAACAAAAACACUAUUUACACAAUCUACAUUACAAAUAUACCAAAUCAAUGAAUGUAAAUUAGUUGUGCUAAUAAAGAUUUUGGUAUUAAUAAAAAAAAAAAGAAAAAAAAUGAUAGAUCUAAGAGAUUUUGGGUUACCUGAGAGUCCACAAAGUAGAGAAGAGCAGUUGUGUGUGAACUAUGGGUGUGAGAAGAGAGGUAGAAGAAAGUUAUAGUUAUGGGUUAUGGAAUGAGAUUUUUUUGGAUUGUGGGAAUGUGGAAACAAUGAGUUUUUUUUUAUAUACUAUCAUUAUUCUCAAAGUGGGCCCAUUUAGUUAUAAUAUUUUAAAAUUUUUAUUUUAUAUGGUGUCACUUUUUUAAAAUUGACACUAAACUUAAAAUUAAUAUCAUCUAUCCUAAUUAAAAAUUUUUAUAUGAUGUGUCACCUUUAUGAAUUUUAAGUCAUAUGGUGUCAUUAUUUUAAAAGUGACACCAUAAAUAGUGACACCAUAAAUUAUUUUUGUUGCAGUGAUGCGUGAAUUUUUAACUAAUUUUAAUUACAUUUUAUUUUCAUAUUUUCAUAAUAAAAUAAAACAUACAAAAUAAUUUUAAACUUAGCAUUUUUUAUUUAUUUCCCAUGUAAUUUCUUGAAACCAAACAUAGCAUUAGGCUAUGUUUGAUUACUCGAAAGAUUUGAGGGAAGACAAGAGAAACAAUAAAGAGGAAAAAGAGUUUAAAGCUAAUAAUUUAUUUUUUGAUUUCAAUUGUUUUAAUUCUUUUAUAUAAAGACUAAAUAAUUUAAAAUUACAUAAGUUUUUAAUUAAUUUUAAUUAUGUUUGAUUUUCAUUUAAAGUAAAACCAAGUAUGAGAAAUAUACAUAUAUUUGUACAUCAUGUAUAAAGUAUUUAUACUAAGUACAAUAUGUAUAAUGCAUGUGCAUGUACAAGGCAAAUGCCUUUUAUCGUCAAAGGCCAAUUUCAUCAUCAACAUGAUCAAUUUUUGAAGUAAAAGACAAUCUUCUCGACCUUUGCUUUAUAGGUAAACUUCACGCAUUUGGACAAACCAUACAUUGAGUAUUUUUGGGAAAAUAUCAUAGAAGUGGUUAAAAUUUGAUGGCUAAAUCCUAUACUCACAAUGUGUAGUGGCAAGUUAGGUCAAGUUAAUUGUACUUAUACAUCAAAUACAACAAAAUUGUACUAAAUAUAUGACACGUACAUAAUAUUUCAAUUUUUGUUCUUUAAGGUCAUUUCUUUAUAGAAGUAGGUCGGAGUUGAUGGUUGAUCACUAUAAAAUAGUGUUUGUGUGUGCUUACUCAUCAUGUUAAAUAAUCUUACAUUUAUACUGGUGGAAAUAAGGUUUUGAAUUACCUUCUGAAAUGUCUAAAAUUUAGAUUGGUAGUUUCAUUGACGAAUUCUUUGUCCCAAAUUGUGAAUGAAACUACAAAAAAUGAUAACCACUCUAUUUCCACAAUAUAAAUGUCUUAACCGUCGUUUUCACAAAGAAAAAUAGAAUAAGCUAGUUAAGAUCUUUUAGCCACACAACUAAGAUCUUUUAUCAAUUUUCUAAUUGAAUGAAGAUUAUAAACUAGUUAAGAAACAUACAACAUUGGAUUUAGGACUAGGUAUUUAGAAAUAGUAAUAGAACCCUUUCUAGCGACAGAAGAAAAAGAUCCAUCAACCCAUGAAGAUUAUUAACUUUUUGACUGCUUGAACAAGUGAUAUAAGUAGAAAACAAACUUAAUACAAUAGUCAUAUGAUUAAUUUCCAUUGAAUCAAUGAUCCAAAGGUUUGAAUUUCUUGAGGUGACAUUCAAAGUAGAUAAAAAAUUAUUUGUUUGGUCUAGGUUGGGCGAGGAAGAAGGGUUAGAAAACAAUUGUUCUUUGGUAAAGAGAUUUGAUUCCUGUUUUGCAUUUGUAAUAGAAAUCAAGAUUGAAUUCUCAAUAUCAUCCUUCUUCUACUUGCCUCCACUUUAAUAUCAAACUCCUUUGUCAUCAAUGAAGGUCAAAAUCAAACAUAGACCUCUUUUGGCAAUGAAGACCAACAGGGUUAAUGGCUCCAAAAGAUAACACUUGUGAUUUGCGUUGGGAAAAAAACAGAUGCCAGAAAAAUGAUAUCAAAAUGCAGCAAGUUUGCUUUGAUACCAUGUGCAAAUUUUAGGAUUCUAUUUUAGUCAAAAAUAAAUUUUCAAUUAGAAGAUAUAAAUCAAUCUUUUAGAAGGUUCAACUUUCACUUUGUUUUUGAUACUCAGUCUUGUUUUGAAAAAUUAAAUUACUAAACGAUUUCUUUAAAUUCAUUGAAUAUUUUUUUUCUUAAUUUGGACUUCCUAAAUUUAAUUUUUGACAUAAAAAAUAUUAAGAAAUGAUUUCUAAAAUGAGAUAUGUAAUUUUUCCUUCUUGAACCUACUACACUAGUGCUUUCCGAGAGCUGAAAGAUAUUUACUCAUUUUUAAAUAUGUUAUGAAUGUAAUAUUUCCUUGUUAUUUUUUUUUAAUUCAAAAUAUACAUAUUAGGCUAGUUGUAUGAAAUUUUUUAUGAUUUUAAGACAUCCCCAAGUUAAUAAAAAUAAAUAAAUUGUUGAAUAUUUUAACAAAAUGUCCUGUUCUAGACCUAUUAACAUCAUUAUGAAAUAUGGUAUUAAAUGAGAACUAGUUGUUAAUUUGAUCACUUGGAUGAUAAACUAGACGUAUAAAAGAUAUUCUCUAAAAAAAAUUUAGAUUUAUUUUUUAGAAUCCCUUGCUUUGACCAUUUGCUGAUUUUUUUCUGGAAAUAAACUCACUUGCAAAUAAAUUUGACAUUGAUUAUAUGUAAGUUUAGUUUCUGAUUCCUCAUUGAAUUCAUUACUAUUAUUUGUGAGUUAAUCUCAUUUCUAUGAAAGUACUUUAAAAUGCUAAACUAGGUACACAAACCUUUUCUUCACCAUUUAUUUAAAGGGAAAAUUGUGUUUUCAGCCCAAUUAGACUUGGUAAUAGAGGUAAGGUCCUCCUAUCACUCAUAAUUAAACUCAAAACCCAAUAAAAGAGCAAAAAUUGAGAGGAAAUAUAUUGUCUUUAAAAAAUCUCUAAAAUACCCUUGACUAUUAAAUGAAAAAGCUAAUCAGCCACCUCGUCUUUCUCAUUUUUUUUUUUUUUUUGGCUAUUUCACCUUUCUUUCACCUAUUUAUUAGUGAUAUCAAGUUGAAUCAUUUCCUAAUCAUUUUUCUCCAUCAAAUUGAAUAUGAAAGAUAAAUGGUUAAAAAUUAUUAUUACUAAAUACAUUUUUGAAGUAAAUAACUUUUAAAUACCUCAUCAAAUAUUAUUAUUUGUUUCGAACUUACAUAAUAUAUAGUAAAUAUUAUUCUUUAUUUCAAACUUAUAUUAUUUCUCGUAUAUAUUAAAAAAAAUUUAAACACCUCAUAAAAUAUUAGUAUUCUUUGUUUGUUCUAACUUGCAAAUUAGACAUCAUCAAAUAUAUAUUUUCAAACUUAUAGAAUAUAUAAUAAAUACUUUUUAAAUACCUUAGCAAUUUUUAUUUUUAUUUUGUUUCUUACUUACAAAAUAAUAAAUAUGUUGUACAUUAUUUCUUAUAUAUAUUAAAUAAUUUUUAAAUACCUCAUAAAAUAUUAUUAUUCUUUUUUUUUCUAACUUGCAAAUUAGACAUAGAGUGUUUAUUAUUUCUCAUAUUAUUUCGAAAAUAAUGUAAACAAUCACAUGCUAUAUAUAUAUAUAUAUAUAAUAUUGAUCAACAAAACAAUAUUUCUAAGACUAAUUUACCAACCUUCCAAUAGUUUUGAAAGUGUAAAUAGGGUAAUUGACAAAAUUAAAGUCUUCAAGAUACUCAAAAUUUCUCAAUUCCAAAAUUACCUAAUUGCUCCCCACACUAAUCCUAAAUAUUUUUAACUAAAGAUUUAAAUAUUUAAAACUAUUAAAAUAAAUAUUUUCUUAUUAAAACAAUUUUUUAAAAGUAAUAAGAUAAAAAAUCAUGAAAUCUUCAAAACUAUAAUUACAACAAAUAUUUUUAAUUUUAAAACUGAUUUCAUAAUUUAAAUUAAUGAUUUAAAAAAUAAAAAUGCUCCAAAAAUAAUUUUUUUUUAUUUUUAAUUCCAUUUAAAUAUGAUUUUUUAAUCUCUAUUGACAACAAGAAAAUUAUGUUUACAAAGGAAAAAUAGUAAUAUAUAUAUAUAUAUAUAUAUAUAUAUAUAUAUAUAUAUAUAUAUAUUUCAUUUAGUUUACUUAUAAUGAACAAUUCAAACGUGAUUGAUUUUAAUUUUAUUUCCUAUGUGUUAAUUUUUGUAGGGAAUGUCUUAAUGUCAAGCUCAAGUUGUUUAAAAAUCCUACAAAACCUAUUAGGAGCCUUGUACACCCUUGUACACUUGACAUAUUUCCCUUGUAUAGUUAGUGUAAUACCCUUAUACAAUAGCGCAAAUUUCAUAUCACUCUUAAGUUUUGUAUUUAUGUAUGUGUGUUAACCAUAUUUUCAAUGGUUUGGUUGAGAAACAAGCCGAUGACUUAGGGUCAAAUUUUUUUUCCCCAAAUAUCAUUAUUGAAGAAAGGAUUGGAAUUUUCAUGUGGGAGUUAACUAAAGUGCAUGACAUAGGUGUACAAUCCUUGGGUGACAAGGAAAAUAAAGGAGUGGUUCGAUUGAAAUCUUUCACAAAAGGUAGUUUUGUAUACCUUUGUACACUUAGUGUAAUACACUUGUACAGUGACCCAAAUUUCAUAUCCCUUCUAAGUUAUGUAUCCACGUAGGUGUGUUUAACCAUAUUUCCAAUAGUUUAGUUGAGAAAAUGAUGGAUGACUUAGGGUCAAAAAAUUUUCCCCAAAUAUCAUUACUGGGAAAGUAUUGGAAUUUUCAUGUGAAAAUUAAAUAAAAUGCAUGACAUAAGUGUACAAUUCGUGGGUGAUAAGAAAAAUAAAGGAAUGGUUCAAAAUAAAUUGAAAUCUUUCACAAAAUGUAGUCUUGUACAUUCUUGUACACUUAGUACUUUUCCCCUGUACAGUUAGUAUAAUACUAUUGUACAGUGGCACAAUAAAUGAAUAAAUGAAAUUUAAUUCUUUUUAAUAUUUUCAUAUAUAAAAAAAAAAGCAGUACUAAACAAGGUUUUCAAUUUUCAUUGUUUAAUUAAACGUAUUUUCAAAAAGAGACAAUAUAGAAAAUAAAAAUUAUUUUUAUAAAUAAAAAUAAAAAAUAAAAACUGGAAAAAUAUUUUUAAACCAAACCCAAACAUAAUCUAUAUAAUUUUUAACUACUUGUUUUCAUCUAAAAUGAGUAAAUAUACUUUUCAACCUUUUUAUAUAAGAAAAAUUCAAUCUCUAAAAUGAGUAAAUAUAUUGUUCAACCAUUUUAUAUAAGAAAAAUUCAAUCUCUACUAUGUGUUGAUAUAAUCUACUUUUAAAAUUAGGUCAUAUAAAAACAUUUUAAUUGGGUAUUUAAAAUAAAAACUCUCCAUCCAUCCACUUUUUUCUUUUUCUUUUUCUUAUUUUAAUAAAUUUUCAAUUAAUUCAAAUCAUUAAAAAAAAUCCUUAGUAAUCAAAUUUGAAACAUUUCAUAUAACUUAUUACUAAAAGUCAUGUUCAAAAAGUUAUUAAAAGAAAGAAGGAAGAAAAUAAAUAAAUAAAAAAUCUUUUUAUUUUAUAAUAAUAAAAAAAACUUUAAAAUACUUUUUAGUAUAAAAGAAAAGAAAAUAGUGAAUAUAUUUAUUUUAAAUAGUAUUUUAAUCAUUAAAUUAUUUACUUCUAAAAUGUAAAAGAUAAUUUUUAUUUAUUAUAAUUAACAUUUCUUAGAAAGUAUUUUCCAAAUAGUCUUUAAGUCAUUAAUAUAAUUUUUUUAUUAAUAAUUUAAAAAUAGAAAAUAAUGUUGAUUUUGAAAUUAUUUAUAAAAGAGUUAAAAAAAAAUAAUGAAAAAAAAAAUCAAAAAAUGGUUAAAUAAGAGAGAAUUUGAUGGUAAUGGCAUGUGAAGAGUGGUAGAAUUAAGACAAAAAUGAAUUAAAAGGGUAUUUUUGUCCAUUACUAUCUCAUAUCCUUAUAAUCAAUUAUGAGUGAUUGAAAGACCUUAUUUUAAUUAUCAAGCCCAACUGGGCUGAAAACACAAUUCUCCUUUAUUUAAAUUAAAGCUUGUGAUUGAACAUUAUCUAUUACUAUUUGCUUGUUAUGUUGUGAUUGUAUAACAUUAAAUUCAACUUGUUAUGGAAUAUGUGACUACUUAGAACACAAUAUGAUGUUAUUGCUUGUUAUUUAACUUUUGUGUUUUCUGUAAACGCUUGGAAUGCAAAUCAGGUAUGCCUUUUUUAUUAAAUUUGUGAAUCACGUUGAUGUGUCUAUUUAGUUCAUAGUAUCCAUGAAUUAAUUAGUUAAUUCUCACAAUUAUCUUAACUUACUUAGUAGAGACCUAGAUUUUAGGGCUUAGAGGGGUGCUACGGUUCAUCACCGUAUCUUCCUAAUAAGAAACCAGACUCCCAGACCCAACUUGGUAUUCACAAACUUGUCCUUUCUUUUAGGAGUCAUUUUUAUAGGGUUUUUUCUUUCUUAUUUUGUUUUCCCUUUAAAAGAAUAAAAUGAAAAAUAAGUGGUGACUCCAUUAUUUAUAAAAUUGGUUUUUCACAAACAAAAAAUGAGUCUCGUCGUCGAGUGAGAACGCAUGUGAAAAUGCGGGAUCACAUAAUGAUAUGCAAGUUUUAAAACAAUUUUGUACCCAAAAACACUCUCUCAAAGAUCAAAUAUAUUCAAAAAAAGGUUUAGAAAAGUUAAGCUCUUGAAAUAAUGAGGAUUGAAUCCUUUUUAUAGAGGAAAACAACCAAACUAAUCGUUGGGGGUUCGACUGGUUGACUAGCCAUUAGCAUUUAAUGCUUGGUAGGUGAUUGUUGGACCUCGACUGCUCCUUGAUCAGACCUUGACUAAACUUCAAUUAGUUGAGGUUCAACCUUGACCGAUUGAACAAGCAUUCUAGAAAAGAGAGAAGGUUUUUAUACCCUUUGACCGGUUGAGCUAAAUUGAUCGACCGGUUGCUCAUCCGAUUCAAUCGAUUGAAUCGUUUUUGGAUUAACAACCAUCAUUUUUAGCUUAAAACCUUUUAAACAAGUUUAGAAAACAUUUGAUACAAGGUUUUAGUUGAAAGCAUGAAAUUAUCAAAUUUUAAAGGAUUUAAAAAAAAAAAUACUUUUGGAUGAUUUUGGUGCAUAAAUUAAUAAUGUAAUGCAUGAAAGACCUAGUGCACCAACAACCUUACAAAGAGAUCCUAUAAAGCUUAGGUCUUGAAAAAUACUUUUCUUUGAGGUCUUCUUCUUCUUAUUAAUUUCUCUUUAGCUUGAUUUGUCUUUGUUAUUGCCACUUUGGAAAUCUUCUUGCCUAAUCACACUUGAAAUAUAAUCAUUAGUUCCAAACCUUGUUUUAUUAUCAUCAAAAUUGAGAUUAACCAAACCUUGGUUUCACAAAAUGGACUAUGGGAAGGGAGAUAGGGGUCCUGGUAGCUCGAGGAUUGAAUGUACCAAAAUUUCUUAAAGAUGUAUCAAAUUUUGUUAAGAAUGUACCUAGGGUUCCAAAGUUUAUUUCGAGGUAGGAAAUGACCUCCAAUCAGUUCUCACUGGUCCCUAAAUGAUCAAAUGGACCAUGAAAAGGGACAUAGGGGUCCCAGUAGCCCGAUGAUUGGAUGUACCAAAUUUUCUUAAGGAUGUACCUAGGGUUCCGAAAUCUAUUCUGAGGUGGGGAACGACCUCCAAUCACUUUUCAAGGGUUCUUAAAGGAACAAAUGAACUAUGGAAAGGGAUGUAGGGAUCCUAGUAGCCCAAUAAUUGGAUAAUGUGAUCUAUCGAUUCCUCUUCGCAUUUGCAAAGAACACAUCUUUUUGCCAACACCCACCCUCUCUUUCUGAAUAUGAUCCAUGGUCAACACUUUGUUGUAACUAGCUUAUCAUGCAAGAAAAAAAAACACGCUUUUGAAAGGAGCCAUGAAUUCCAAAUGAUGGCCAUGGGGGAGAGAAUUGCAUGCCUUGAUCUCAGAAUGGAAUAAAAAGAUUUGAUAAAAAAGACCUCAUUCCUAGAAUCCAUCCAUACCACACUAUCUUUCACUUCCCUCUUCAUAGACUUUCCUUCAUGUCUUGAUAGGAAAUCCUCUACAUUGUCUAGUUCUCAAUCAUUCAAAUGUUUAAUGAAAAUCCUCUACAUUGGCAAGCUAUAUCUUCCAUAGCCAGCUUGAGGGGGAGUGUUGAAAAAGAUAGGAUCGGCUGAGAUAAUUAGCAAGAUAUUAGGAGAUUUAAAUGUAUAAGAUAUUAGGAGAUUUAUUCUUUUGUAAUUUGUUAGACAGUUGUAUAUUGUUAGGUUGUUAAGUUGUUUCCUAUUUUAGUGUUGAGAAAAUUCUCUAUAAAGAGGAAGCCGUGUAUACGGUUUUGAAUAUAAAAUAAAAAUACGAAAAAUAUAUUCCUUUCCAAUUCUGUUUACAAAAAUGAUAAUAAUGAUGCUUGGACAAUUCUCACAAUUACCAAUGGAAAUCAAUUACCUUCUUAUUCCUAAAUAAAGUUGGGUAUGGAACUUUCAAAUGUGAAGAACAUGAAUAUCCUAAUCUACGAUGCCACAAUUUAAUUUCACUCUCAUAAAACAAAAAGGUACCAACAUGACUAGCCUAAGACAAACAUCCAAAGACAUCUAGGUCCUCAAAGUAAUAGAGUCCAUCCACUUCUUUAGCAUUGCUAAUUUUCUUCCUAAUACACAGGUUCUGAAAUGCAUAAUGAGUAGGAAAAAAUUUAGCCACACAACUAAGAUCUUUUAUCAAUUUUCUAAUUGAAUGAAGAUUACAAGCUAGUUAAGAAACAUACAACAUUGGAUUUAGGACUAGGUAUUUAGAAAUAGUAAUAGAACCCUUUCUAGUGGCAGAAGAAAAAGAUCCAUCAACCCAUGAAGAUUAUUAACUUUUUGCCUACUUGAACAAGUGAUAUAAGUAGAAAACAAACUUAAUACAGUAGUCAUAUGAUUAAUUUCCCUUGAAGACUUUGUUACUUUGACUUAUCAAAAAAAAAAAAAAAAAAUCCCUUGAAUCAAUGAUCCAAAGGUUUGAAUUUCUUGAGGUGACAUUCAAAGUAGUUAAAAAAUUAUUUGUUUAGUCUAGGUUGGGUGAGGAAGAAGGGUUAGAAAACAAGUGUGCUUGACCUAUAUAGUUGUUCCAAUUGUUCUUUGGCAAAGAGAUUUGAUUCCUGUUUUGCAUUUGCAAUAGAAAUCAAGAUUGAAUUCUCAAUAUCAUCCUUCUUCUACUUGCCUCCCCUUUAAUAUCAAACUCCUUUGUCAUCAAUGAAGUCCAAAACCAAACAUAGACCUCUUUUGGCAAUGAAGUCCAACAGGGUUAAUGGUGCCAAAAGAUAACACUUGUGAUUUGCAUUGGGAAAAAAACAGCUGCCAGAAAAAUGAUAUCAAAAUGCAGCAAGUUUGCCUUGAUACCAUGUGCAAAUUCUAAAUAUAUUUUUGUUUCGUCUAACAAAACUACACAAUAUGUCAUUUAUGUACACUAGAAACAGCCUACAAAACGAAAAUUUAGAGCUAUAAAUUUCCUAAAUUACAAUGAGGAAAUCAAGGAGAAAAGUUAGUUCAAAAACAAGAAAAUAGGCCAACUAGGAGACUAUCUAAAUAUAGUGUACCAUUCAGCUUACAAAUCAGCCUAGAAGCAAGUAAAAUUUUAGUGGUUGACUUUUCACAAUUCUGGGCAAUAGCUCUGUUCUAACGGUGGUUAAUCCUCGAAGGCUCUUCCUUGCUCUCUAACCCAAGUACAUUCAAGACUCUCCUCCAAGGUUUCCUUCCUAAACCCCUGAAAGGAAAUUGUUGCCAUCCAGAUCUCUUUUGAGGCUCAAUUGGUGAAUUCUUGCAGGAGAGAAGUUUUUUCACAGCUCAUAUAUUAAAGGACACUAGAAAAAGACAUGGGCAAUUGUAUCAUCACUCCUUUUUGCAUACAUGCAUUUGGGCUCCGGGCUUUAGAAGCUUUCCUUAUUUGAAAUAAAUUACUAGAGUUUACUUUAUUAUGAACCCUUGAGCAUGCAAAAAUUUUGAGUGGCAAGGACUUUAGUUUCUUGUCAGUUUGACUUGAAAAAAGCUAGUUUGGAAACAGAAGAAUGAGGAAAAAGAACCUGAAUUUUCCCUAGACCAGCACCUUGGUUGAUUUGACAUUGUUUCUUCACUCUCACUGUCUAACAUGAUGACUUCACUCAUUUGGUAGUGUUCAUGGAAGGUAGUUAAUAUAUAACAAAAGAAGUGUACUUCUUUCUGAUCUUGUUUUGGAGGGGAGAUAUAAAUUGCAAUCCAUUAGACAGGAAGUGUCCCCCAAAAUGUCAGCUACAGGAGGAAAGACCAUAGUGAAGGGCUGUUUGGAUCUGCAAAAGUUGUCAAUACUGACCAGUCUUAUCUUCCAUGAUGAGUAUUAAAGGUUUGGUUCUUUUUAUAUAUUGAGCAUAAGGAUUGCUCAUGUCAUUUUGAAGUGUGAUGAUCUAUUUAGUGAUGUGAAAUUGUGAAUUCUUUUCGCUUACUUUAUCCAGUAACCAUAUGGUAUUUCAUUCAUUAAUGCCUUGGGAAAAAAAAAAAAAAAAUACGGCAUACUAUUUUGGCCAUCUCAUUUUUUUCCCAUUGGUCAAAUAAUCAUCUUGGCUUUUAAAGUCAAAGUUUGAGUUUUGAAAGGAGAAAAGAAUACCUACUUAUAUGAAGUCAUGAUUUGUUUGAAUGAAUGUGUGAUAAAAUGCGUGUGUUUUCAUUCAUGGAAAUGAUGUUGUAAAAAUAUCUUGCUGAAAUAUAAAGUGGUUGAUUAAGGAAAAUCCUCAACAGAAUCUCAUUUUUGACUGCAGGGUGGGUGAUGGGCCCAUUGCAGGAUCUUCGUCCUAUGCUGAUGAUGAAGUUGGUGCUUGUGGUGCAACUGGGGAUGGUGAUAUCAUGAUGCGUUUCCUUCCAUGGUAGUUCAACAAAUCCCAAACUUUUAAACUUCAGCCUGGAAACUGUUGUUUUUCCAGUUGGUAUUAAAACAAAUUUUGGAAGCUUCUCUUCUAAGUUAACUAAAACUGGAAUUUUUAUAAUGAAGAUUGUCUAAAUUGAUCAAGUAUUCAAAAUCUUUGAGGUACUAAAAUAGGCUGAGCUCCAGCUAAUGUCUUGGUGAAAUUCAAAAUCAUUGGUGAAAUUCAAAAUCAAUCUUGUAGAGCCAUGAUGAGCCAACCUAAACAAAGCAUAGGCUAGGCAGGGUUUGGCGCUAGUCAGGCUCAAUUUGGCUUGAACUCUCUAUGUAGAGCAGUGCCACAGUGAAAGAACCAGGCUCUGAAGCUAUGAAUGUCUUUGGAACCAAAACUCAAAACCCUGCCCUUAUGGAGCAUGUCCUCAAUCUCACUCAAAUAAAAAGAGAAGGGAGGAAAAUAGGAAAAAAGACGAAUAGUAAAGUAGCAUGUUUCUUAUAUGAAUUAGUAACAUGCAUGGAGAAUAUUAAUGCAAUACUAGCUACAAAAACUAUCACCUCUAUAUCUCAGUUAAGGCUCAUCAAGCUUGGAGAGCUUGACCUGAGGUUUGGGCCCUCUUUAUAUCAAGCCAAUCAAACUCAAGUCAUUUGCUGCUCUCCUCACUUGAACUGAAAAGCCCACCCAUCCAUUCUAUGCUCUCUCAGAUGUGUGAUGUAGGAUGGAUUGCUUCUCUGUUUUGGCUCUGUUCCCAAGCCUAUUUUUUCCAAGGUCCAAGUGCUCUUGAUAUACCUCUCAUCUCACCAACGUUAGGAAAGAAACUCUCUAGACACUGGAUAAGGAAGAGAUACUCAAUCCCCUUUUCUUGACUGACUAUUUGGAUCCUAAGAAUCAUUUACCUGAUUUCAGCUAUCAAGUUGUGGAGAGUAUGCGACUGGGGAUGGAGCCAAAGCUUGCUGCCCAAGAUGCCAUAAAGCGAAUUGCAAGAAAAUUUCCAGAUUUUGUUGGGGCAGUUUUGGCCAUCAAUAAGAAUGGUCUGCAUGCUGGUGCUUGCCAUGGAUGGACAUUUCAAUACUCAGUGAGAAGCCCGGAAAUGGAGGAUGUGGAGGUAUUCACUGUAUUCCCCUGAAAUAGCAACUGCCUGCAAUUAUGAAAAGCCUAAUGAGUUGGUUGUGCAAUAUUAUUGAUUAUUGUUGAUGAUUUUGGCACCGUUUUUAUUUGGCUAAUAAUACAAAAUUGAUGUAAUUUCCAAUGUUAUUAGACACCUGUAUUUGUAGAAGAUACUUUUUGGUAUCUAUA